rnacentral:lncRNA from 1 species
UUUUUUUGGGUUUUUCUAAGGUUUUUCAAACACACAAGAAGAAAGUAAGAAAAUAAAUCUAAGCAUGGAUGAUACAAUGAAAAAGUGUGAACACCUACAAAUGAAAAUAAGUGGACAUGAAUGUAAUGUCGGUGAGAACACGUACUCCCCCAAGCUUAGGCUUUUGGCCUAACUUGGUAGUCGAUCAGUAGCUUGGAUAGUAGCCUCCACUGCUGUGUUGUGAGCUCGGGCCUCGCUCUCAAGAACAAAAUAUCUUCCUUUGCUGUGAUAGUCAAAAAGAGCAGGCGCAGGUGAGGGAGUCCUGGAUUACGGGGUCCUCGGGUGUCCGGAUUACUCAAGAUGGGCCGGACUAAUGGGCCGUGAAGAUAUAAAGAUAGAAGGCCCUCCCUCGUGUCCGGAUGAGACUCUUCUUUGUGUGGAUGGCAAGUUUGGCGUUCGGAUCUGUAGAUUCCUUUCUCUGUAAACCGACUCUGUACAACCCUAGGCCCUUCCGGUGUCUAUAUAAACCGGAGGGAUUAGUCCGUAGAGCCAAUCAUAAUCAUACAGGUUAGACAUCUAGGGUUUAGCCAUUACGAUCUCGAGGUAGAUCAACUCUUGUAAUCCCUAUAUUCAUCAAAGUCAAUCGAGCAGGAAGUAGGGUAUUACCUCCAUUAAGAGGGCCCAAACCUGGGUGAAACAUCGUGUCCCUGUCUCCUGUUACCUUCGAUCCUCAGACACACUGUUCGGGACCCACUACCCGGGAUCUGCCGGUUUGGACACCGACAUUGGUGCUUUCAUUGAGAGUUCCGCUGUGCCGUCGCUGAGAGGUUUGAUGGCUCCAUCGAUCAUCUACAACAAUGCUGCCCUGAGGGAUAUUUUUCUCCCUGGCCAAAUUUUUGUGUCUGGCGGCUUCGCACUGCGGGCCAACUCGGUUGGCCACUUAGAGUAGAUCGACAGCUACCCCCCUGGUCAUUAGGCCACUUUUGGAAAUCUGAACUAUGUCGCUGAUAUCCGAGGAGACUUGAUCUUCCAAGGGUUCGUGGCCCCAACUACUGCUCUGGCCUUAAAUCCAAAGCACGUCACCAGGUCCGAAGACGGGAAUUUAAAGCCCGCCGGACUAUCUGCAGCUAUAGAGCUCGAUACUGGAGAACCGGAGGGGAUAGCAUCACGGGCAGGCCCAGAGUUACGUUGGACUCCCCCUAUCAUCAUAAAACCGGACUCUCCUCCGCACACUAGCUCCGAACCCUCGAAGUCCACGGCACGAGAGCUCAGCCAGGGAACUUUCGUCCCGCCCAACUCCACGGACUCUCUUUUUCCCGUCCAAACCUCGCUCUUAAACGAGGCUUUGGACUUAAUGCGAUCCCUCGCCAUCACAGAGGAAUCGCUUCCGAAUUGUGCUCAGCCCGGACUAGGGGCUAAAAGCAGGGAAAUUUACUUCCCACCCACCACCCACUUCAUUGCCACUGUUGAAGACUUAACCCACAUGCUCGAUUACGCCUCCGAAGACAUCGACAGUAUGGACGACGAUGCCGGAGAGGAGCAGGCCCAAAACCCGCCGUUCGUGGGACGCUGGACGGCCACUUCCUCAUAUGACAUGUACAUGAUGGACACACCUAAAGAGGGCGACGGCGAUGACAAGAAGGAUCCAGUCGAGUACGAACCUCCUGAGAUACCACCAAAGCGUCGACGUCAGCGGGCGCCGCUCCAAAUCGCGUCACGGAAAAGACAGCAAUACCGGCACCGGAGACGAUAACACUCCGGAUAACGCUGAAGAGCAAGAAGCCCCCAUCGAACAAACAUCCAAAUAGGAUGAUCGGGAGGACGGGCAACUUGACCCUGACGAUCCAGUCAGGAACGAGGACUCGGAGGAUAGCAACUAUCUACCACCCUCCAAAGACGAUGUAAGUCUCGACGACGAAGAUUUCAUCGUGCCGGAGGAACCCCUCGAACAAGAGCGCUUUAAGCACCGGCUAAUAGCUACUACAAGAAGCCUAAAAAAGAAGCAGCAGCAGCUCCAACCUGAUUAGGAUCUACUCAACGACAGAUGGACUAAUGUCCUAGCGGUCGAGGAAUACGGCCUCGAACGCCCAACUAAGAGUUACCCGAAGCGCAAGCUGCUACCCCAAUUCGACGAUGAAGCCCGGGAGCCCAUACCGCUAACGCGUAACUCUACCAACGAACCUGACCGACCACAACAUGGCUGGGACAGAGCGGCAACUCAAGCCGAUUACUAGCCCGCACCACCCCGCCGUAGAGGCAGAGAGACAGCGGUUGCAGGAUACACUUAUGACCUACGUCAGGACCUGGACAAUAGAGCCGGUCAGACCAGGUCAAUUUAUGGAUCAAGGGGACGUGCCCAAGCGCGAGAAGAUGGCCAUCAGGCCUGGCGCGACAAACACAAUCUCACCAGGGCCGAAAACCGCAUACGGACUUCAUCCGAACUGCGCCGUGACGUUGCCUGAUACAGAGGCGCCGCACACCCCCUAUGCUUCACCGAUGAGGUAAUGGAGCACCAAUUUCCAGAGGGGUUUAAACCCGUGAACAUCGAAUCAUACGAUGGCACAACAGAUCCCGCAGUAUGGAUUGAAGAUUUUCUUCUCCACAUUCACAUGGCACGCGGUGAUGAUCUACAUGCCAUCAAGUACCUCCCCCUAAAACUCAAGGGGCCAGCACGGCACUGGCUGAAUAGCCUACCAGAAAACUCUAUUGGUAGCUGGGAAGACUUGGAGGACGCAUUCAGAGACAACUUCCAAGGUACCUAUGUUCGACCCCCAAACGCCGAUAAUCUUAGUCACAUAAUCCAGCAACCCGGAGAAUCAGCCCGACAGCUCUGGACCAGGUUCUUAAUAAAAAAGAACCAGAUUGUGGAUUGUUCGGACGUCGAAGCCCUUGCGGCCUUCAAACAUAGCGUCCGAGAUGAGUGGCUCGCCCGACACCUCGGCCAAGAAAAGCCGAAGUCCAUGGCAGCCCUUACCGCACUUAUGACCCGCGUUUGCGCGAGACAGGAUAGCUGGCUUGCUCGUAGAAGCAAUAGCACCAGCGACCCUGGCACCUCCGAAUCCAGGGACGGCAAUGGCAAGCCAUGACACAACAAGCACAAGCGUCGAAACAAUAACGAAGGAACCCAAGACACGGCGGUCAGUGUCGGAUUCAGUGGCUCCAAAUCUGGUCAACACAAGAAGCCAUUCAAGGCAAACAGAGACGGCCCAUCUAGUUUAGACAGAAUACUAGAUCGGCCUUGCCAGAUUCAUGGCACCCCCAAUAAACCCACCAAUCGUACUGAGCGAGUCCUGGACUAAUGGGUCCUCGGGCGUCCGACCAGUUAUCUGUUGGGCCGGACUGAUGGGCUAUGAAGACAUGAAGACCGAAGACUAUACCCGUGUCCGGACUAGACUCUCCUCGGCGUGGAAGGCAAGCUAGGCGACCGACUAUGAAGAUUCCCUCUUAUGUAACCGACCUCAUGUAACCCUAGAUCUCGCCGGUGUCUAUAUAAACCGGAGAGCAUAGUCCGGAUAGGACAGAUUCAUUACCAUAUACUCAUAGGCUAGACUUCUAGGGUUUAGCCAUUACGAUCUCGUGGUAGAUCAACUCUUGUAAACACUCAUAUUCAUCAAGAUCAAUCAAGCAGGAAGUAGGGUAUUACCUCCAUAGAGAGGGCCCGAACCUGGGUAAACAUUGUGUCCCCCGUCUCCUGUUACCAUCGAUCCUAGACGCACAGUUCGGGACCCCCUACCCGAGAUCCGCCGAUUUUGACACCGACAUUGGUGCUUUCAUUGAGAGUUCCACUGUGUCGUCGACGAAAGGACUCGAUGGCCCCCUCGAUCGCCAGUAAUGAUGACAUCCAGGGAGAAACCUUCCUCCCCGGACAAAUCUUUGUGUUCGGUGGCUUCGUACUGCGGGCCAACUCGCUUGGCCGUCUGCAGCAGGUCGAUAGCUACGCCCCGGGCCACCAGGUCAGAUUUGGAAGCCUAAACUACGUUGUGGAUGUCCGUGGAGACUUGAUCUUUAAUGGAUUCGAGACCGCGGCAGUUGCUUCCCCGUGCUCCGACAAACAUGACUUAAAUCUGUCAUCGGACUACGUCCGGGAGAUGGAUCAUGUUGCUGCAACGGCUUCAGAAACAAAGCAGGCCGUGCCCUCCGAGGCCACAAAGCCUACGGCGUUGGAGCCGCACACGGACUCGACAUCCUGCAAUGCUUGCGUCAAUAGAACUCCGGACUCGUAUCCGGCCAUACGUUCCCGACCAGAUGCGCCUGCGGACACCGAGCUAGAUCGGUUAUCGAUUUUCAAAUUUAGCGCCGCAGACAUCUUCCAGCAUUCGCCUUUGAGUGACGUACUAAACUCUUUGAAGAAAUUCUCCUUGGAGGAAGACUCACAGCCGAACUAUGUUCGGUUCGAGCUAGAGGCGGACGACGAGGAAUUUUGCUUCCCACCCGCCACCCACUUCAUAGCCACCGUCGAUGACUUAACCGACGUGCUUGACUAUGGCUCCGAAGACAUCGACGGUAUGGACGACGAUGCCGACGGGGAGCAAGGCCAAGACCCGCCAUUCACUGGACGUUGGACGGCCACCUCUUCGUACGACGUGUACAUGGUUGAUACACCUAAAGGAUCUGGCAACGACAAAGAAGAGCCGGAUAAGAACAAACCCUCGGAGACGCAGUCCAAGCGCCGACGCCCCAAACGCCGCUCUAAGCCUCGACGUUCCAAAGACGGCAACACCGGCACCGGAGAAAAUAGCACUCCGGGCGACGCCGAAAACAAUGAGGAACCUAUCGGAGCUACGUCCGAACAGGAGGAAAACGGCAACGAGCAGGAUAACCCUGAUGAACAGGCCGUAGAAGAAGACCCGGAGGACGAUAGCUAUCAUCCACCCUCCGAGGAGGAGACAAGCCUCGACAACGACGAUUUCAUCGUGCCUGAGGAUCCUCUGGAGCAGGAGCGCUUCAAGCUACAGCUCAUAGCCACUGCAAGGAGCCUGAAAAAGAAACAGCAGCAGCUUCAAGCCGAACAAGAUCUACUCGUCGACAGAUGGACUGACGUCCUGACAGCGGAAGAAUACGGCCUCAAGCGCCCAGCCAAAAGCUACCCGAAAUGCAGACUGCUACCUCAAUUCGAUGAGGAGGCACCGGAGCACACAUGUCCCUCGCGCAAUGCGGAACGACCACCACGUGGUCGAGACAGGGCGGCCGACCGGCCACCACGCGGUCGGGAUAAAGCGGCAACUCAGGCCGAACAGCAGCCUGCCCAACUGCCCCGCAAGAAUAAAGACGGAAGAGUCCGGGGUCACACGUAUGACCUCCAGCAGACCCUGGACAGUAAAGCAGGGCAUACAAGAUCGAUCUACGGAUCGCGAGGACGUGCCUCGAGGCACGACGACGGCUACCUAUUAGGACGCGACAAACCUAACCACGCCCGGGCCGAAUACCGCAGACGGACUCCAUCAGAUCUACGCUGUGAUGCAGCCCGGUGCAGAGGCGCCGCACACCCUCUCUGCUUCACAGAUGAAGUACUGGAUCACGGAUUCCCUGAGGGGUUUAAGCCCGUCAAUAUCGAAUCAUACGACGGCACAACCGAUCCCGCAGUAUGGAUUGAGGAUUUCAUCCUCCACAUCCACAUGGCUCGAGGAGAUGAUCUCCACGCCAUUAAAUACCUCCCACUCAAGCUCAAAGGGCCAGCUCGGCACUGGCUUAACAGCCUGCCUGAAAAUUCUAUCGGUAGCUGGGAGGACUUGGAAGAAGCUUUCCUAGACAACUUCCAAGGAACAUAUGUCCGGCCACCAGACGCCGAUGAUCUAAGCCACAUAGUUCAACAACCUGGAGAAUCAGCCAGAAAAUUCUGGAGUAGGUUCCUAACCAAAAAGAACCAGAUCGUUGACUGUCCAGAUGCCGAGGCCUUAGUAGCCUUCAAACACAGCAUCCGUGACGAAUGGCUAGCACGCCACCUCGGCCAAGAAAAACCGAAAUCCAUGGCAGCCCUCACGGCACUCAUGAUCCGCUUUUGCGCGGGAGAGGACAGCUGGCUGGCCCGUAGUAACAACACAGCCAGCGAGACAUGCCCCUCCGAGGCCAAGAAUAGCACCGGCAAGCUCCGGCGCAAUAGGCACAAACGCCGAAGCAAUGACAACAACACCGAUGACACUACAGUCAACGCUGGAUUCAGUGGCUCCAAGUCCGGCCAACGGAAGAAGCCCUACAAACGAAAUAAUGAAGGACCUUCCAGCUUCGACCGCAUACUCGACCGUCCGUGCCAGAUAUACGGCACCCCGGACAAGCAAGCCAAUCAUACCAACAGGGAUUGUUGGGUUUUCAAGCAGGCUGGCAAGUUAAAUGCCAAAAACAAAGAAAAGGGAUCACAAAGUGAGGAUGAAGAGCCCCGGCAGCCGAACACUCGGGGGCAGAAGAAGUUUCCCCCUCAAGUCAAAACGGUGAACAUGAUAUACGCUACACACAUCCCCAAAAGGGAGCGUAAGCGUGCACUCAGGGACGUCUACGCAGUAGAGCCAGUCGCCCCCAAAUUCAAUCCAUGGUCGUCAUUCCCGAUCACCUUUGAUCGUCGAGACCACCCAACCAGUAUCCGUCAUGGCGGUUCGGCCGCAUUGGUCCUCGACCCAACCAUCGACAGAUUUCAUCUAACGCGAGUCCUAAUGGACGGUGGUAGCAGCCUCAACCUGCUCUGUCAAGAUACAGUUCGGAAGAUGAGCAUUGACCCCUCAUGAAUCAAACCAACAAAGACUACCUUCAAGGGAGUCAUACCAGGCGUCAAGGCCCGCUGUACGGGCUCAAUCACGCUGGUGGUCUUCGGUUCUCCGGACAAUUUCCGAAGCGAGGAGUUAAUCUUCGACAUCGUCCCAUUCCGCAGCGGCUACCACGCACUGCUCGGACGAACAACGUUCGCUAGAUUCAACGCAGUGCCACACUACACUUAUCUCAAGCUCAAGAUGCCCGGUCCACACGGCGUCAUAACAGUCAAUGGCAACACAGAAUGCUCCCUCCGAACAGAGGAGCACACCGCCGCCUUAGCAGCAGAGGUAUAGAGUGGCCUUCUCAAUAGCACCAUAGUGCGGCUGCCGAGCCCCUGGACACCGUCAAGAAGUUCCGAACUACACUGCAGCAGGACAACAAGGCUCGUCAAGAGCUCGACUAGCAAUUCGGCCUUCGUCCCAGUCCCAAUGAAGUAGUGGCAUUCGCACCACGCGUGCAUAAUUACGCACUCGAAAUUCCAUGGACAUCGACGGAGGCACAAGCCAACCCGGGAACUACAGUUCGGCUAGACCGACCCCGGACACACGUUUUCCUUUCUGUUUCAGGUUCCUUUUUCUGCAAGCCUGAUCACCAGCCCCUUCGAAGGAUUGGCAUACAAGGGAGGCAUGCAACAUAGGUGCGUAGGGUAACCUCCAUACGUUCUUCUUGACGGUAUUUUUACUCAUUACCCAGGACCCGCACGCUGCUCCUUCUUGAUUCCAGCAUGUUAAAUAUUCCGGGUGUUUAUUGCACUAUUUGUAUAAGAUACGCCUUGACGUAUCCAUUCAGUUAUAAUGAAAAUGAUUUGCGGCCCAGUUUCUGUGUUUUUUCGCUUUUUACUUCAUUUCAUUUCGAUCUGCUUAUCAGCCGCAUCGGUACUCUUUUGUACGCCUCAUAUUCGCCAGGGGCUGCUUAUCGCCCCACAAUACGGCAGAAAAGUCCGAACACUUUAUAUAUAUAUAAGCUCGGCACCCCGAAUUUAGCAUUAUAUGCAUUGGCUCCGAAUCAUGUCUUUGGUCAAUAGUUGGGUUGCCCGGCUCCUGUGCUUGCUACCCUACGUUCCGCUCUAUCGGCUAGGAUAGUAAAGGGAGAACUACUGCGAUUGUGCCCCGGCCUUGACCGGAUGAGCACCUCAGUAGAGAAAGCCGAAAACUGACUGUCAUGAUACGGCGAGAGCCGGUCAGCUGUUCGAGGGUUAUAAAAUCGUUGGAGAUUUCUUCCGCGUCACGCGAAGGAUCGACACUUCCCGAUCAGAUGCUGACAGCACCCUGGCCUGGACCAGGGGCUGUGCACGUGCUUAAUUAUAAAACUCCUAUGGCUAAGUGAGGGCGUUUAAGCCGUACAGUCUGAUUGCCUUGUUCGUUGCGCUAAACAACUCCUCCAAAGGACCAUAUAAUUGGAUAAAGAUUGUUUAGAUCCCAUCCCGAACACCUCUGUACUACCUACGUGAGGGCAGAAGCCGACGACUGUCCAACCCUCAGAUUACAAACAACACGGCCGCACAGGGGGAAACAAUUAAAGCACAAUAAUAUUGCAUUACGGGCUUUGUCUCCAUAAUACAAUGCAGGGGCAACAUGAAUACAUUCAUUCAAAUACAAUAUCCUGCGAACAUUGAGCUGCCGCAAGUCGAGACCCUUCUAGGACAUCCGCAAAAUAUCUCUCGGGUGUGUGGUGCUCCUUGCCCUUCGGCGGCCCGCUGGCAACUUCAACAGCAUUCAUCUUCGCCCACCACAUCUUGCAGCGAGCGAAGGCCAUACGGGCACCUUCAAUACAGGCAGAGCGCUUGACGACGUCCAGCCGCGGACAGGCUUCCACUAGCUGCCUCACGAGUCCAAAGUAGCUGCCGGGCAUAGCUUCGGCUGGCCAUAGCCGGAUUGUUAAAUCCUUCAUGGCUAGUUUGGCCACCCUAUGCAGCUCCACCAGCUGCUUCAGCUGAUCGGUGAAGGACACGGGAUGCUCUGGCGCCGCAUACUGCGUCCAGAAUAGCUUCUCCAUCGAACCUCCUCCUUCGGCUCGGUAGAACUCUGCAGCGUCUGAUACCCUACGUGGUAAAUCCGCAAAAGCCCCUGGGGAACUCUGAACCCGGGUUAGUAAAAGGUAUUGCUUCUCCGCAUACUUGCAUCUUAAAAGCCUUACCCGCCGUGAUCUUCCUAGCCUCCUGUAUCUCCUGGAGGGCGGCCCGGGCCUCAUUCCGUGCGGUCUCCGCGCUCUGACGAGCCUUGGAGAGUUCGGCCUUUUGAGCCGACGCAUCAUUCUCCAAGGUCUCACAUUUUUUCACCGCGUCUUGGAGCUCCUAUUGGACCUCCUUGACUCGGGCCUCUAGCUUUUUCCGAGCGGCUUGCUGCUCAAUGGCCUUCCCCUCGGCUUCGGCCAGAGCCUUUUUUAGGGCCUCCACCUCGGUUGCGGCUCCUGCACAUAUUUCGACAUUACGGUCAGUACGCAACGCUUGUUCUUUCCGAACACACAGCAAGACAUUACUCACCUUGUUCCUCCUGAAGCCGCAUUGUAACCUCGCCGAGCUUGUUCUCGGUCCGCUCCAGCUUCUGCUUUAAUCCAGAGACUUCGGCAGCAUGCGAGGUUGCGGCCAAUAGUGACGCCUGCUUAUGCACACAUGUUACGUUAGUCUCCUACAACAGAGGAUUGAUCCUCUGUCCGGUUCUUCUAUCCGAACACCGGACAGUGUCUCAGGGGCUACUGACUACAUGGGAUUUUUUCUCUUUCUAUAUCACUUACCUCAAAACCUAUUAACAGGCUGCCGCAGGCCUCAUUCAGUCCACUCUUGGCGGACUGAACUUUUUCGAUCACUGCACCCAUAAGGACACGGUGCUUGUCUAAGACGGAGGCGCUUCGUAGCGCCCCCAUCAGAUCAUCCGACGCUCCUGGAUGGACAGGAGCCACCGGUGGAGGCGGCACACCCCCCUCUUUCAAAGGGAGCUGCUUGCCCGACUCCGGAGCCAUAUGGGGCUCCGGAACCGUAUUCGGCUGAGGGUUCGGCCCUCUUCGCCAGUCUCCAUGGGGAUUGGAUCCCCCAUGUGUCCGGCAGUGGAGGUCUCGCCUUGUGGCGCCUCCCGAACAACGUCCUAGGCUCCUCCCUUCAGAGCGGUCCUCCGGGACAGCACUUCGGUGUCGUCCCUGGCCCCGGGGGAGUAAGCAGGCGGUGGCGACCUGCUCGCCAUCUCCGAUGAAGCCAACAAACCUCCAGAGGAGGAUGUCUGGAUAAGAUCACGGGCCGGACUGCAAUGGUGUAGUUAACCAUGUUAAAAUAAUAAAGAGGAAGAGCUGAUGUGCGCAUCAAUAAGCCGUGUCACUCACGAGGACGUCGUUCCGGACGGCUGUCAACGUCCCAUGCGGUGUUGGCCGCUGGGACGCCCUUCCCCUUCUUGGGCGCUUCCGCCUCCAGGUGCACCGAAGCCGCCCUUUUCUUCCUCUUCUUCUCCUCAGGGGAGGAUUGUUUUCUUCCUCCUCCUCUUCUUCCUCGUUAUCGUCCUCAGGGACGGAGGAAUGGGUCUCGUCGUCUUCGGACGGUGCAUCCGCAGCGCCCUUACGACGGGGGCCACUCUUGGUCCCCUUAGCCUUCCCUUUGGCCUUCUUCUUGGCCUUCUUCUCUGGCCCCUUAUAUGGCGCUGGCACCAGCAUCUUCGCUAGACGCGGGAUGACUGGUUCUUCAGGCAACGGAGCCGGACACUGGAUCCGCUUCGCCCUCUCCGUCUAGUCCUGAAAGAGCGAUAAUAAAAGCUCAGGCAUCGCCCUUGCAACGAACAGGCAGGGAAUAUGUUAAAAAGACAUACCUCACUGGCAGGAUGAUUAGCGUCGUGUCCGCGAUCUGAAUCCGAGGCCGACGGUUUUUCCUUGCCCUUAAAGCGCAACUUCCACGCGUCCUCAUGAGUAGUCUCGAAGAGCCUUACCAAGGUAUGGCGCUUCUUUGAAUUGAACUCCCACAAAGGGCGGCUUCGGCGUUGGUACGGGAGAAUCCGGCGAACUAACAUCACCUGGAUUACAUCUACGAGCUUGACGUUCUUGGCUGUCAUGCUUUGAACGCGCGUCUGCAACGCUAUUACUUCAUCGGAUGAACCCCAGUCGGGACUCUUCUCAAUCCAAGAGGUGAGCCGCAUAGGUGCACCGGAGCGGAAUUCGGCAGCCGCGGCCCAGGAGGUGCCGCGGGGUUCUGUGACAUAGAACCAUUGUCUCUGCCACUCCUUCACUGUCUCCACAAAAAUGCCUUUCGGCCAGGAGACAUGGGGCAGCUUGCUCACCAUGGCUCCUCCGCACUCCACGUGCUGGCCGUCCACCACCUUCAGCUUCACAUUGAAGACUUUGAGCCACAGCCCGAAAUGGGGGUGGAUGCGGAGGAAGGCCUUGCACACGACGAUGACGCCGAGAUGUUGAGGAAGGAAUUCGGGGACAGAUCAUGGAAAUCCACCCCGUAAUAAUACACCAGCCCGCGGAUGAAGGGGUGGAUUGGGAACCCCAGCCCGCGGAAGAAAUGAGGGAGGAAUACUACCCUCUCGUUGGGCUCCGGCGUGGGAACGAUUUGUCCCUCGGCCGGCAAGCGGUGGGUGAUUCCCUUCGCCAAAUAUCCGGCCGCCCGGAGCUCAGUAAUGUCCUCCUCCGUGAUGGAGGAGACCAUCCACUUGCCCUGACCACCGGAUCCGGACAUGGUUGCUUGAGCGGAAAAGAGAUUGGAACUUGGGCGCUGAAGCUCGAGAUCGGGAAGGCAGAGACAGAGAGAAAGCGUGAGAAGAGGAAGGGGGAAUCCUUAUCUGCUUAUAAAGGCAACAAAUAUUAAACGCCUCCUCACUCGCCUUGACAUUCGCCUAUUCCCAAGGGCUGUGUAAACGACACUGUUGGGUUACCCAUGCUCGCAUUGAUGAGAAUCCCGCGAUAAGGGGACACGAUAUCUGCUUUGACAAGACGUGCCAAUAAAACCGCUUCCCGAGACGCGGGGCGACAAGCUAGCCAACGGUUGGAAAUAAUAACCGGGCAGGCGUGAUACAAUGUCGUAAACAGUUGUCAGCGGAUGGGACUCGUGUAAAAAUAUGUAUAUUCUCUCUGCGAUUGUGCAUGGUGUGUGACAGGUCCGGAUACACUCAUUACAUCCGAAGACUAUCUCGGAGCUCGGGAGAAGGGAACCCGCCUUGCAAUGCCGAAGACAAUCUGCGCGCCGGACUCCUCGUCAUUGAAGCCAGGUUCAGGGGCUACUGAGGGAGUCCUGGACUAAGGGGUCCUCGGGCGUCCGACCAAUUAUCUGUUGGGCCGGACUGAUGGGCUAUGAAGACAUGAAGACCGAAGACUAUACCCGUGUCCGGACUGGACUCUCCUCGGCGUGGAAGGCAAGCUAUGCGACCGACUAUGAAGAUUCCCUCUUAUGUAACCGACCUCAUGUAACCCUAGAUCUCUCCGGUGUCUAUAUAAACCGGAGAGCAUAGUCCGGCUAGGACAGAUUCAUUACCAUAUACUCAUAGGCUAGACUUCUAGGGUUUAGCCAUUACGAUCUCGUGGUAGAUCAACUCUUGUAAACACUCAUAUUCAUCAAGACCAAUCAAGCAGGAAGUAGGGUAUUACCUCCAUAGAGAGGGCCCAAACCUGGGUAAACAUUGUGUCCCCCGUCUCCUGUUACCAUCGAUCCUAGACGCAUAGUUCGGGACCCCCUACCCAAGACCCGCCGGUUUUGACACCGACACGUACCAACAGAAAUUGUUGGGUUUUUAAACAGGCCGACAAACUCAACGCCGAACACAAGGGGAAAGGGCCGCCCAGCGAUGACGAUGACCAAGAGCCUCGUCAACCGAACAUAGGGGGACAGAAGCAAUUUCCCCCCAAGGUAAAAACAGUGAAUAUGAUACAUGUCACACAUAUCCCUAAGAGGGAGCGCAAGCGCGCAUUACGGGACGUCUACGCCAUAGAGCCGGUCGCCCCAAACUUCAACCCAUGGUCCGCUUGCCCGGUCACCUUCGAUCGAAAGGACCACCCAACCAGUAUCCAUCAUGGAGGUUCGGCAGCUCUGGUCCUCGAUCCAAUCAUCGACGGAUUCCACCUCACGCGAGUCCUCAUGAACGGCGGCAACAGUCUGAUACGUCUCCAACGUAUCUAUUAUUUUUUAUUGUUCCAUGCUAUUAUAUAUUAUGUUUUGGAUGUUUAAUGGGCUUUAUUAUACACUUUUCUAUUAUUUUUGGGACUAACCUAUUAACCGGAGGCCCAGCCCGAAUUGUUGUUUUUUUGCCUAUUUCAGUGUUUCGAAGGAAAAGGAUAUCAAACGGAGUCCAAACGGAAUGAAACCUUCGAGAACGUGAUUUUCGAAACAAACGUGACCCAGAGGACUUGGAGUGGACAUCAAGCAAUCAACGAGGAGGCCACGAGGCAGGGGGGCACGCCUACCCCCUGGGUGCGCCCUCCACCCUCGUGGGCCCCUCGUAGCUCCCUGACCGACCUCCUUCGCCUAUAUAUACUCAUAUAUCCUGGAAACAUCAUAUACGGAGUCCAAACCGUAUUUCCACCGCCGCAACCUUCUGUAACCGUGAGAUCCCAUCUUGGGGCCUUUUUCGGUGCUCCGCCGGAGGGGGCAUUGAUCAUGGAGGGCUUCUACAUCAACACCAUAGCCUCUCCGAUGAUGUGUGAGUAGUUUACCUCAGACCUUCGGGUCCAUAGUUAUUAGCUAGAUGGCUUCUUCUCUCUCUUUGGAUCUCAAUACAAAGUUCUCCUCGAUUCUCUUGGAGAUCUAUUUGAUGUAACUCUUCUUUUUGCGGUGUGUUUGUCGAGAUCCGAUGAAUUGUGGGUUUAUGAUCAAGAUUAUCUAUGAACAAUAUUUGAAUCUCCUCUGAAUUCUUUUAUGUAUGAUUGGUUAUGUUUGCAAGUCUCUUCGAAUUAUCAGUUUGGUUUGGCCUACUAGAUUGAUCUUUCUUGCAAUGGGAGAAGUGCUUAGUUUUGGGUUCAAUCUUGCGGUGCUCGAUCCCAGUGACAGUAGGGGAAACGACACGUAUUGUAUUGUUGCCAUUGAGGAUAAAAAUAUGGGGUUUAUAUCAUAUUGCAUGAGUUAAUCCCUCUACAUCAUGUCAUCUUGCUUAAAGCGUUACUCUGUUCUUAUGAACUUAAUACUCUAGAUGCAUGCUGGAUAGCGGUCGAUGUGUGGAGUAAUAGUAGUAGAUGCAGGCAGGAGUCGGUCUUCUUGUCACGGACGUGAUGCCUAUAUACAAGAUCAUACCUAGAUAUUCUCAUAACUAUGCUCAAUACUAUCAAUUGCUCGACAGUAAUUCGUUUACCCACCGUAAUACUUAUGCUAUCUUGAGAGAAGCCACUAGUGAAACCUAUGGCCCCCGGGUCUAUUUUCUAUCUUAUUAAUCUCCCGUCAACAAGCUAUUUCUGGCGCCGUUUAUUUUGCUUCCUUUACUUUUAGUCUUUAUCAUAAAAAUACCAAAAAUAUUAUCUUAUCAUCUCUAUCAGACCUCAUUUUUGCAAGUGGCCAUGAAGGGAUUGACAACCCCUUUAUCGCGUUGGUUGCAAGGUUCUUAUUUGUUUGUGUAGGUGCGUGGGACUUGAGCGUGGCCUCCUACUGGAUUGAUAUCUUGGUUCUCAAAAACUGAGGGAAAUACUUACGCUACUUUACUGCAUCACCCUUUCCUCUUCAAGGGAAAACGAACACGGUACUCAAGAGGUAGCAAGAAGGAUUUCUGGCGCCGUUGCCGGGGAGUCUACGCACAAGUCAAGACAUACCAAGGACCCAUCACAAACUCUUAUCCCUCGCAUUACAUUAUUUGCCAUUUGCCUCUCGUUUUCCUCUCCCCCACUUCACCCUUGCCGUUUUAUUCGCCCUCUUUUUCCGUUCGCCUCUUUUUUGCUUGCCUCUUGUUUGCUUGUGUGUUGGAUUGCUUGUUUGUCAUGAUGGCUCAAGACAAUACUAAAUUGUGUGACUUUACCAAUACCAACAACAAUGAUUUUCUUAGCACUCCGAUUGCUCCUCUUACCGAUGCUGAAUCUUGUGAAAUUAAUGCUGCUUUGCUGAAUCUUGUCAUGAAAGAUCAAUUCGCCGGCCUUCCUAGUGAAGAUGCCACUACCCAUCUAAAUAGCUUUGUUGAUUUGUGUGAUAUGCAAAAGAAGAAAGAUGUGGACAAUGAUAUUGUUAAAUUGAAGCUAUUUCCUUUUUCGCUUAGAUAUCGUGCUAAAACUUGGUUUUCGUCUUUGCCUAAAAAUAGUAUUGAUUCUUGGAAUAAGUGCAAAGAUGCUUUUAUCUCUAAGUAUUUUCCUCCCGCUAAAAUCAUCUCCCUUAGAAAUGAUAUUAUGAAUUUUAAGCAACUUGAUCAUGAACAUGUUGCACAAGCUUGGGAGAGGAUGAAAUUAAUGAUACGUAAUUGCCCUACUCAUGGUUUGAAUUUGUGGAUGAUUAUACAAAAAAUUUAUGCCGGAUUGAAUUUUGCUUCUAGAAAUCUUUUAGAUUCGGUCGCGGGAGGCACUUUUAUGGAAAUCACUUUAGGGGAAGCUACUAAACUCCUAGAUAAUAUUAUGGUUAACUAUUCUCAAUGGCACACCGAAAGAUCUACUAGUAAAAAGGUUCAUGCGAUUGAAGAAAUUAAUGUUUUGAGUGGAAAGAUGGAUGAACUUAUGAAAUUGUUUGAUAAUAAGAGUGUUUCUUCUGAUCCCAAUUAUAUGCCUUUGUCUACUUUGAUUGAAAUAAUAAUGAAUCUAUGGAUGUGAACUUUGUUGGUAGGAACAAUUUUGGUAACAAUGCUUAUAGAGGAAAUUUUAACCCUAGGCUGUAUCCUAGUAAUUCCUCUAAUAAUUAUGGUAAUUCCUACAACAACUCUUAUGGAAAUUUUAAUAAGAUGCCCUCUGAUUUUGAGACUAGUGUUAAAGAAUUUAUGAUUUCUCAAAAGAAUUUCAAUGCUUUGCUUGAAGAAAAAUUGCCUAAGAUUGAUGAAUUGGCUAGAAACGUGGAUAGAAUUUCUCUUGAUGUUGAUUCUUUGAAACUUAGAUCUAUCCCACCUAAGCAUGAUAUCAAUGAGUCUCUCAAAGCCAUGAUAAUUUCCAUUGAUGAGUACAUAGAAAAAACCGCUAGGAUGCGUGCUAAGAAGAUUGCUUUGUGAAAGCGUGUUCUUCUAAUUUUUAUGAGAAUAAAGAUGAAGAUCUAAAAGUUAUUGAUGUGUCCCCUAUUAAAUCUUUGUUUUGCAAUAUGAAUCUUGAUAAUUAUGGGACUGGAGAUGAGUCAACUUUAUUUAGAAGGCGUCCCAAAAAUUCGGAGUUUUAGAUCUUGAUGCAAAAAUUGGUAAAAGUGGGAUUGAAGAGGUCAAAACUUUAGAUAGCAAUGAACCCACUAUCUUGGAUUUCAAGGAAUUUAAUUAUUAUAAUUGCUCUUUAAUAGAUUGUAUUUCCUUAUUGCAAUCCGUGCUAAAUUCUCCUCAUGCUUAUAGUCAAAAUAAAGCUUUUACCAAACAUAUCGUUGAUGCUUUAAUGCAAUCUUAUGAAGAAAAACUUGAGUUGGAAGUUUCUAUCCCUAGAAAACUUUAUGAUGAGUGGGAACCUACUAUUAAAAUUAAAAUUAAAGAUCAUGAAUGCUAUGCUUUGUAUGAUUUGGGUGCUAGUGUUUCCACGAUUCCAAAAACUUUGUGUGAUUUGCUAGGUUUCCGUGAAUUAGAUGAUUGUUCUCUAAACUUGCACCUUGCAGAUUGCACUAUUAAGAAACAUAUGGGAAGAAUUAAUGAUGUUCUUAUUGUUGCAAAUAGGAACUAUGUGCCCGUAGAUUUCAUUGUUCUUGAUAUAGAUUGCAAUCCUUCAUGUCCUAUUAUUCUUGGUAGACCUUUCCUUAGAAAGAUUGGUGCAAUUAUUGAUAUGAAGGAAGGAAAGGCAUGGAACACUUUCCUAGAAAAAAAAUUACCUUAUGAAUCUAUUAUGAGAGCCACUUAUGGAUUGCCUACCAAAGAUGGCAAUACCUAGAUCUAUCCUUGCUUUUAUGCCUAGCUAGGGGUGUUAAAUGAUAGCGCUUGUUGGGAGGCAACCCAAUUUUAUUUUAGUUUUUUGAUUUUUGCUCCUGUUUAGGAAUAAAUCUUUGAUCUAUCCUCUGGUUAUAUUUGUUUUUGUGUUUUAAUUAGUGUUUGUGCCAAGUAAAACCUAUAGGAACUUCUUGGAUGAUAGUUAUUUGAUCUUGCUGAAAAUUCCAGAAACUUUCUGUUCACGAAAACAAUUUUUGAAAAUUACCAGAACGUGAUAAAAUACUGAUUCCAAUUGAAUCAUAUCAAUAAAUAAAUUUUCUAGGUCGUCCUAUUUUGGUAGAAUUUUUAGAGUUCCAGAAGUUUGCGUUAGUUACAGAUUACUACAGACUGUUCUGUUUUUGACAGAUUCUGUUUUUGUGUGUUGUUUGCUUAUUUUGAUGAAUCUAUGGCUAGUAAAAUAAUUUAUAAACCAUAGAGAAGUUGGAAUACAGUAGGUUUAACACCAAUACAAAUAAGGAAUGAGUUCAUUACAGUACCUUGAAGUGGCGUUUUGUUUUCUUUCGCUAACGGAGCUCACGAGAUUUUCUGUUAAGUUUUGUGUUGUGAAGUUUUCAAGUUUUGGGUCAGGAUUUGAUGGAUUAUGGAACAAGGAGUGGCAAUAGCAUAAGCUUGGGGAUGCCCAAGGCACCCCAAUGUAAGUCCAAGGACACCAAAAAGCCAAAGCUUGGGGAUGCCCCGGAAGGCAUCCCCUCUUUCGUCCUCGUCCAUCGGUAACUUUACUUGGAGCUAUAUUUUUAUUCACCACAUGAUAUGUGUUUUGCUUGGAGCGUCUUGUAUGAUUUGAGUCUUUGCUUUUAGUUUACCACUUUCUUGCUCGCUGAAUACACUUUUGAGUGAGAUACACAUGAUUCGGAAUUUAUUAGAAUACUCUAUGUGCUUCAGUUAUAUCUUUUGAGCUAUAUAAUUUUUGCUCUAGUGCUUCACUUAUAUCUUUUAGAGCACGGUGGUGGUUUUGUUUUAUAGAAACUAUUGUUCUCUCAUGCUUCACUUAUAUCAUUUUGAGAGUCCUACAAAACAGCAUGGUAAUUUGCUUAAAUUGUGAAAUUAGUCCUAAUAUGAUAGGCAUCCAAGAUUAGUAAAGACUUUCUUAUAAGUGUGUUGAAUACUAAGCAAAGUUUGAUGCUUGAUGAUUGUUUUGAGAUAUGGAGGUAGUGAUAUUAAAGUUGUGCUAGUUGAGUAAUUGUGAAUCUGAGAAAUACUGGUGUUGAAGUUUGUAAGUCCCGUAGUAUGCACGUAUGGUAAACGUUGUGUAACAAAUUUGAAACAUGAGGUGCUCUUUGAUUGUCCUCCUUAUGAGUGGCGGUCGGGGACGAGCGAUGGUCUUCUCCUACCAAUCUAUCCCCCUAGGAGCAUGCGCGUAGUGCUUAGUUUUUGAUGACUUGUAGAUUUUUGCAAUAAGUAUGUGAGUUCUUUAUGACUAAUGUUGAGUCCAUGGAUUAUACACACUCUCACCUUUCCAUCAUUGCUAGCCUCUUCGGUACGUACCGUGCAUUGCCCUUUCUCACCUUGAGAGUUGGUGCAAACUUCAUCGGUACAUCCAAACCCCGUGAUACGAUACGCUCUAUCACACAUAAACCUCCUUAUAUCUUCCUCAAAACAGCAACCAUACCUACCUAUUAUGGCAUUUCCAUAGCCAUUCCGAGAUAUAUUGCCAUGCAACUUUCCACCGUUCCGUUUAUCAUGACAUGUUUCUUCAUUGUAAUACUGCCUUGCAUGAUCAUGUAGUUGACACCGUAUUUGUGGCAAAGCCACCAUGCAUAUUAUUUCAUACAUGUCACUCUUGAUUCAUUGCCCAUCCCGGUACACCGCCGGAGGCAGUCAUAUAGAGUCAUACUUUGUUCUAGUAUCGAGUUGUAAUCAUUGAGUUGUAAAUAAAUAGAAGUGUGAUGAUCAUCAUUCAUAGAGCAUUGUCCCAAAAAAAAGAGAAAGGCCAAAUAAAAAAGGGGAAAGGCCCAAAAAAAGAGAAAAUAAAGAAAAUAAAAAAGGGGACAAUGCUACUAUCCUUUUUUCCACACUUGUGCUUGAAAGUAGCACCAUGAUCUUUAUGAUAGAGAGUCUCUUAUUUUUUCACUUUCAUAUACUAGUGGGAAAUUUUCAUUAUAGAACUUGGCUUGUAUAUUCCAACAAUGGGCUUCCUCAAAUGCCCUAGGUCUUCGUGAGCAAGCAAGUUGGAUGCACACCCACUUAGUUUCUUUUGUUGAGCUUUCAUGCAUUUAUAGCUCUAGUGCAUCCGUUGCAUGGCAAUCCCUAGUCCUUGCAUUGACAUCAAUCGAUGGGCGUCUCCCUAGCUCGUUGAUUAGCCACGUCAAUGUGAGACUUUCUCCUUUUUUGUGUUCUCCACAUAACCCCCAUCAUCAUAUUCUAUUCCACCCAUAGUGCUAUAUCCAUGGCUCACGCUCAUAUAUUGCGUGAAAGUUGAAAAAAGUUUGAGAUUACUAAAGUAUGAAACAAUUGAUUGGCUUGUCAUCGGGGUUGUGCAUGAUGAGAGCAUUCUUGUGUGACGAAAAUGGAGCAUGACCAAACUAUAUGAUUUUGUAGGGAUAAACUUUCUUUGGCCAUGUUAUUUUGAGAAGACAUAAUUGCUUAGUUACUAUGCUUGAAGUAUUAUUACUUUUAUGUCAAUAUUAAACUUUUAUCUUGAAUCUUUCGGAUCUGAAUAUUCAUGCCACAAAUAAGAGAAUUACAUCGAAAAUUACGCCAAGAAGCAUUCCACAUCAAAAAUUCUGUUUUUAUCAUUUACCUACUCGAGGAUGAGCAGGAAUUAAGCUUGGGGAUGCUUGAUACGUCUCCAACGUAUCUAUAAUUUUUGAUUGUUCCAUGCUAUUAUAUAUUCUGUUUUGGAUGUUUAAUGGGCUUUAUUAUACACUUUUAUAUUAUUUUUGGGACUAACCUAUUAACCGGAGGCCCGGCCCGAAUUGCUGUUUUUUUGCCUAUUUCAAUGUUUUGAAGGAAAAGGAUAUCAAAUGGAGUCCAAACAGAAUGAAACCUUCGGGAACGUGAUUUUCGGAACAAACGUGAUCCAGAGGACUUGGAGUGGACGUCAAGCAAUCAACGAGGAGGCCACGAGGCAGGGGGCGCGCCUACCCCCCUGGGCGCACCCUCCACCCUCGUGGGCCCCUCGUAGCUCUCCUGACCAACCUCCUUCACCUAUAUAUACUCAUAUACCAUGGAAAACAUCAUAUACGGAGCCAAAAUCCUAUUUCCACCGCCGCAACCUUCUGUACCCGUGAGAUCCCAUCUUGGGGCCUUUUCCGGCGCUCCACCGGAGGGGGCAUUGAUCAUGGAGGGCUUCUACAUCAACACCAUAGCCUCUCCGAUGAUGUGUGAGUAGUUUACCUCAGACCUUCGGGUCCAUAGUUAUUAGCUAGAUGGCUUCUUCUCUCUCUUUGGAUCUCAAUACAAAGUUCUCCUCGAUUCUCUUGGAGAUCUAUUUGAUGUAACUCUUCUUUUGCGGUGUGUUUGUCGAGAUCUGAUGAAUUGUGGGUUUAUGAUCAAGAUUAUCUAUGAACAAUAUUUGAAUCUCCUCUGAAUUCUUUUAUGUAUGAUUGGUUAUCUUUGCAAGUCUCUUCGAAUUAUCAGUUUGGUUUGGCCUACUAGAUUGAUCUUUCUUGCAUUGGGAGAAGUGCUUAGCUUUGGGUUCAAUGUUGCGGUGCUCGAUCCCAGUGACAGUAGCGGAAACGACACGUAUUUUAUUGUUGCCAUCGAGGAUAAAAAGAUGGGGUUUAUAUCAUAUUGCAUGAGUUUAUCCCUCUACAUCAUGUCAUCUUGCUUAAAGCGUUACUCCGUUCUUAUGAACUCAAUACUCUAGAUGCAUGCUGGAUAGCGGUCGAUGUGUGGAGUAAUAGUAGUAGAUGCAGGCAGGAGUCGGUCUACUUGUCACGGACGUGAUGCCUAUAUACAUGAUCAUACCUAGAUAUUCUCACAACUAUGCUCAAUUCUAUCAAUUGCUCGACAGUAAUUCGUUUACCCACCGUAAUACUUAUGCUAUCUUGAGAGAAGCCACUAGUGAAACCUAUGGCCCCCGGGUCUAUUUUCUAUCUUAUUAAUCUCCCGUCAACAAGCUAUUUCUGGCGCCGUUUAUUUUUCUUUCUUUACUUUUAGUCUUUAUCAUAAAAAUACCAAAAAUAUUAUCUUAUCAUCUCUAUCAGACCUCACUUUUGCAAGUGGCCGUGAAGGGAUUGACAACCCCUUUAUCGCGUUGGUUGCAAGGUUCUUAUUUGUUUGUGUAGGUGCGUGGGACUUGAGCGUGGCCUCCUACUGGAUUGAUACCUUGGUUCUAAAAAACUGAGGGGAAUACUUAUGCUACUUUACUGCAUUACCCUUUCCUCUUCAAGGAAAACCAACGCAGUGCUCAAGAGGUAGCGCAGUCUCAAUCUACUCUAUCAAGACACUGUCUGCAAAAUGGGCAUUGAUCCGUCAUGAAUCAAGCCCACUAAAACUACCUUUAAAGGAGUAACACCUGGUGUAGGGGCCCGCUGCACGGGCUCAAUCACGCUGGAAGUCGUCUUCGGUUCACCGGACAACUUCUGAAGCGAAGACUUGAUCUUCGAUAUCGUCCCCUUCCGCAGUGGCUAUCACACACUGCUCGGAUGAACCGCUUUUGCCCGCUUUAAUGCGGUCCCGCACUACGCCUAUCUAAAGCUUAAGAUGUCCGGUCCACAUGGCGUCAUUACAAUCAACGGAAGCAUGGAACGCUCCCUUCGUACUGAGGAGCAUACAGCGGCCAUCGCGGCCGAAGUACAAAGCGGCCCUGUCAAGCCGCACACCCCAUCAGCUAUUAAGCCGCCGGACUUUAUUACGCAAGGCUGGUCAGUUCUGCAUGCUGGCACCCCGGCAAUUCCAGGGCUGGAUUAGCAGUUUCGCCUCCGUCGAUCGCCACAUACAUCACCGAAAUUCGUACUACGCGUGCACAAUUAUGCACUCAAAAUACCUUGGGUAUCAGCGGAGGCAAAGUACGGACAGGCCUAUAGUACGGUUCAACCCUAUAUGGCCCUCCCCUCAGUUUUACUUAUUUCUUCUCUCUUACCACAGGUGAAUCAAAACCUAUUCAUCCUACGGACUUAAAAGGACUCUCUCUGAGCCCGAUUUCGUACAAAUAAUCGAAGACCACUCCUAUCAAGGAAUCUUCCUCACUAAGGCGAAAGCAGCGCAGACGUGCAGCAGGAGGUCCAAAGGAUUUUGUAGACCAAAACUUUAUUUAAAAGAACCCGUAUAGAGCUUUUUUCCCUUAGUCGUAGACCCCCGGCAUGUAAAAUGGCCUUGGUGAUUAUGGUACAAUCUGUCAGUAUUACGUUUGAUGUAUCAAUCAGAUUCCAGUGAACAUACUUCUCAUUUCACCUUCAUUCAUAGACUGUGCUCCGUCUCUUUAGAUGUCUCACGCACACACCUCGGCACAAAUCGCCAGGGGUUCUAUAUGGCAACAUAUGUGUCCUCACACAAAAGCCCGAACAGAUUUAUAGCACACUUUGGCGUCCCGAGUUUGGCAUUAUAUGCACCGGCUCCGAAUCAUGUCUUUGGUCAAUAGUUGGGUUGCCCGGCUCCUGUGUUUGCUACCUUACGUUCCGCCUGAUCGGCUAGGGUAGUAAAGGGAGAACUACUGCGAUCGUGUUUCUGGUUCGUCCGGUGAAGCACCUCAGUAAAGAAAGACGAAAACUGACUGUCAUGAUACGGCGAGAGUUGGUCAGCCACUCGGCGACUUAUUAAAAUCUUUAGCGAUUUUCCCUUAUUAUACGAAGGACUGUUUUCCGGUCACAUAUGUAACGCAUCUGCAUUGGGAUAGCCACAUACAUACCAGGGGCUACUUUGUAGACCCAUCGUCAAACUCCUAUGGCUAAGUGAGAGCAAUAAAACCGCAUAGUCCGAUUGCCUGGUUCGCCGCACUAACACCUCCUUCACGGACCUAGAUGUUGGAUUAAGUGUAGUCAUGUGCAAUUCUGAACACCCCAGUAGUAUCUACAUGGGGGUUGAAGCCGACGACUGGGAACUCUCAGAUAUAAAAACGGCCGCACAGGAGGAUAAAACUCUUCAUAAAGGCAUGAAUAUAUUAAAAAAGCCUUAGUUCAUAAUACAAACUCCUGGAUAGUUCGGACUCGUUCACUCGAACACUAUAUCCUUAGAGCAUUGGCCUUCUACAAGGCGGGCACCUUUUAUACGUCCUCAAAAUAGCGCUCCGGUGUGCGGUGGUCCUUGCUUUCGGGUGGACCCUCAACUGACACCUUUUCGGCCUUCAUCUUCGCCCAGUGCAUCUUGACACGGGCGAAAGCCAUUCGCGCUCCUUCUAUGCAGGACCACCUCUUGACGGCGUCAAUUCGGGGCAGCGCAUCGACGAGACGCCGCACAAGGCCGAAGUAGCUGUCCGGAAUGGCUUCGGUCGGCCACAACCGGACUAUGACGUCAUUCAUGGCCGCGCCGGACAUCUUAUGCAGCUCCGCCCCUUGUGCCAUCUGGUCAUUUAGCAGUGCGGGACGCUCCUGCCCCACAAACGGCGACCAGAAGAGCUUCUCCGUCGCAUACCCCUCCUGGGCCCGAAAGAAUUGGGCGACGUCCGCAGCACUCUCCGGCAGAUCCACAUAUGCAUCUGGAGACUCCACAGUCGAUUAAGCAAGGAAUACCUCCGAUCCCCGAAUUUAGCCUGUAAAAGAAAGGGCUUACCAGUUGCUAUCUGUCUGGCUUGACAGAUUUCCUCGCGCACUGCUUGGGAUUCGGACCGCGCGUCCUUGGCGUCUUGAAGGGCCUUGGUGAGUUUGGUCCCUUUCGCCUUAUUUUCCUCUUAUAAGGACUCGCACUUGCGGGCGGUGUCCUUGAGCUCCUGGUCCACCUCGGUCACCCAUUCCUCAAAACGGCGCCGAGUGGCCUGUUCGGCCGUUAAGUCCGCAGCCGCUUUAUCAGCGGCCGCCUUGCUUACCCUCGCUUGCUCCUUGGCUUGGGCAAGCUCACCCCUGAGGGUUUCAACCGCGACAGCACCAUCUGUACAAACACGCACAUUGCAGCUCUUGAACUUCCACAGAACACGGACAUAAACAGGCAUAAAGUAAGAUGUAUCUUAUACCUUGCGCCUGGUCGAGCCGCGUGUUAACAAGGACUAGCUAGGUCCUCAUCGGCUCGCUCCAGUUUCCGUUUGAGUUCAGAAACUUCCACUACCUGAGCAGUCGCCGCUAACAGAGAAGCCUGUUUUAAUCCAAGUAAAAUAGUAUGUUACCACCUGACAACUGAUUAUUGAUCCUCUGCUCGCUUUUCUUUCAAAGAACCGAACAGAGUCUCAGGGGCUACUAUCUAUAUACAGGCAUAUUUCUCAUAAAAAUGAUCACAAACAUUACAUUGCGUACCUCGAAGCCUGCUAGCAGGCUGGAGAAGGCUCCGUCCAGCCCGCUCUUAGCAGACUGAAUCUUCUCAGCCACCGUACCCAUCAGGAUGCGGUGCUCAUCCAAGAUGGUUGCACUUUGCAGUGCGUCCGCCGUGGUAUUCGGUGCCUCCGGAUUAGCUGAGGUCGCCGCUCCCCCCUCUCCGGCAGGGGGUCGCUGACUAGACUUCGGAGCCGUGUGGGUCUCCGGAGUAGUAUGCGGCUGGGGGUCGAAUUGACCAGGGCCCCCGUCGCCGGUCUCCGUGGGGCCAUACCCCCAGUCCUUCGGCAGCCGAGGUAUUGCCCUCUGGCGCCGUUAAGUCGCCCCCCGCAUCUCUUCAAGGCCCGGGGAGGGCCUAUGGGACGACACCUCGGCGUCAUCCGCCCUAGGCGGCGGGGAAGCUAGUGGAGGCGACUCGCUCUCCAUCAUCUCCGGCGGCAGAUCCCCCGAGGAUGAGGAUAGCUGGGGGAGGUCGCGGACUGGACUAAAAAAUUGAACUUAGAGUUAUCAUCACAGUUCAUAGAAAUUGGAUGUAUGUGAAAAUUCUCGGAUUACUUACGAGUCGGCUUGGGGCUUGGUCCGGGACGGUGCUUCGGGAUGGCCUCGACGUCUAACUCCGAGUCAUCGGAGAGGGUAAUCUUGUCCCUCUUGGAUGCUUCAUCCUCCAGGUCUUCGGAGGCCGCCCUCUUCUUGCCCUUGCGGGGAGGAUCUUCUUCUUCUUCCUCCUCCUCGUCGCCGUCGUCGCCCUCGUGAGAGGACUGGGCAUCAGCUUCUCCAGACACUGCGUCCGAAGUGCCCUCCUCUUUCUUCUUCUUCUUCUUCUUCUUCUUCUUCUUCUUCUUCUUCUUCUUCUUGUCCUUCUUUACCGGCACCGGGACCAGCAUCCUCAUUAGUAGAGGAUUGGCUGGGUCUUCGGGGAGCGGAGCCGGACACCGGAUCUGCUCCGCCUUCUUGAUCCAGACCUGUUUGGGGACGAACUACUUAAUACUUCUCCUUUGGAUUGACGAACCAAUUGGUGUUCGAAGGUUUUAGAAUUUACCAAGGAGGCCGGAUGGUUGCAGUCGAGGCCAGUGUCGUCUGAUGACUUUGGCCACGACUUCUGCUUCUUAAAAAGCAGCUUCCAGAUCCCCUUAUGCGUUGUGCCGUAGAACCGUUGUAGGGUCCGCGGCCCUUCCGGGUUGAACUCCCACAUCUUGAGAGGCCGCCACUGGCAGGGAAGUGCUCGGCGGAUCAACAUCACUUGGAUCACGUCAGCAAGGGUGAUGUCCUUCGCUAUCAUGCCUUGGACGCGUUUCUGCAGCAGUAGCACCUCAUUGACCAACCCCCAGUCCAGACCCUUGUCGGUCCAGGAUGUGAGCCGCAGCGGGGGUCCGGAUCUGAAGGUUGGAGCGGCUGCCCACUUAGGGCCGCGGGGUUCUGUGAUAUAGAACCAUUCCUGUUGCCAUAUCUUGACGGUGUCCACAAAGACUCCCUUUGGCCAAUUGACUUUGGGGAGCUUGCUCACCAUGGCGCCACCGCUGUCCGGGUGUUGCCCAUCGACCACCUUUGGAUUCACGUUGAACAUCUUGAGCCAUAAGCCAAAGUGUGGAGGGAUGCGGAGGAAGGCCUCACACACGACGAUGAAUGCCAAGAUGUGGAGGAACGAAUUUGGGGCCAGAUCGUGAAAAUCCAGCCGGUAGUAGAACAUGAGACCCCUCACAAAGGGGUGGAGAGCGAAUCCGAGUCCGCGGAGGAAGUGGGGGAUGAACACCACCCUCUCGCCGGGCCCCGGAGUGGGGAUGACCUGCGCCGGAUCGGGAAGCCCGUGCUUGAUUUCCGCGGUUAGAUACCGCGCCUCCCGCGGCUCCUUGAUGUUAUCCUCCGUGACGGAGGAGGCCACCCACUUGCCUUGAGAGCCGGCCAUGGUCGGAAGGGUUGUGGAGGGGAGAAAAGAUUGGAACUUGGGUGCUUGAGCUCGGGGAUGGGGAGGCAGAGAGAGAAUGAGGUGUGGGACGGAAGAGUUGGAUUCUAUCCACCUAUAUGUACUGCAAAUAUCAAGCGUCCCCCUCCCUCGAGCCUUAAAACUCGCCUUGUCAGAUUACGGGUUCUGGCAAAACCCUUGAGGUUUGAACUCUGGGGUGCAUACGAAGAUCUCUCUCCCCCUAGCUCACACUCUCGCAACAAUCCCAAGGCCUAGCUCGCCGAACCCAAGGAACAGAAGACACGCAAGAGUUUAUACUGGUUCGGGCCACUGAUGUGGUGUAAUACCCUACUCCAGUGCGGUGUGGUGGAUUGCCUUGCAGGCUGGGCAUGAACAAGUACAAGGGAAGAAAAACCUCCCGAGGAGAGGUGUUCUUGAGCUCGAUGAGCUUGUGCAUGUGAGGAUGGAAUGGAUCCGAUCCAAGAUGAGUUGCCUCCUAUGGUGGUGGCUAUUCCUAUUUAUAGAGGCCCUGGUCCUCUUCCCAAAUGUUUAGGCGGGAAGGGAUCCCACAAUGGCCAAUUUGAAGGGGGACAGCUAGUACCAGCUAUCCUGACAAAAGGUGGUCUUCACCUGUCAAAGGCUCUGGUGGUGACGACGUCGUGGGCUCCGCGAUGACCCCCAUCCUGCCGUCCUGCUGGUCUUGGUCUUGUUGCACCGAUAUGGAAACCUUUGCCUGAUACCUCGCGACUCCUCGCCUGCACCUGCCCCUUUAGCACCAAAGAGGCAACCGGUACUCUACGCUCGCUGGCGCCCGCCUGGCCUUGGUCGUCAUGGCUCACGUCACGAAAACCUCGCGAGGUGCCCCUCGCCUUGAUCUCUCCGCUCCUCGCGAGCCAGCCUAGUGAGGCUGCCCUUGAGGAGGUCUUGUGUCGUCCGCCUCGCGAGGCUUGGCCCCUCGCGAGGGUCUUGAGUGUUUGCUGAUGAAGAAGGGCCGUACUAGGCCGUUAGUGGAGCCACGCCGUGGGUUGCAGCCAGGCAAGUCUGGGGACCCCCAUUCCCAGGACGCCGACACGCCUGUUCCCAAGGGGUCGUGCGAACAACACAGUUAGAUUACCAAGACUCAUAUUGAGAGAAUCCAGCAAUAAGGGGACACGGUCUCUGCUUUGACAAGACGUGUCAAUGGGAGUUGCGUAUUGAAACGCGAGGCGGGAGGCCCAAAAACGGUUCGAAAUGAUAGCAGAGCUAUGCGUGAUGUUUCGCCAGAAAAAGCUGUCGAUGGAUAUAUCUUAUUUUAAGUAUUAUGCCUUUAUGGUUGGAGGGUUGACCUGUUAUACAGAGCUGGAUAUAGAUCUCUUGUUCAGAAGACUAUUUUGGAGUAUUCGGAGGAGGAACCCACCUUGCGAUGCCGAAAACAACUUGUGUGCCGAACUCAUCGUCAUCGGAAGACUGGUUCAGGGGCUACUGAGGGAGUCCUGGAUUACGGGGUCCUCGGGUGUCCGGAGUACUCAAAAUGGGCCGGACUAAUGGGCCAUGAAGAUAUAAAGACAGAAGGCCCUCCCUCGUGUCCGGAUGAGACUCUCCUUUGCGUGGAUGGCAAGUUUGGCGUUCGGAUCUGUAGAUUCCUUUCUCUGUAAACCGACUCUGUACAACCCUAGGCCCCUCCGGUGUCUAUGUAAAUCGGAGGGAUUAGUCCGUAGAGCCAAUCAUAAUCAUACACGUUAGAGACUAGCACAUAUGCCCGUGCGUUGCAACGGGGGAUGAAAUAGUAUGCAUUUAAAAGUCAGUGAGAAUUAUAUGUGCAUGCAAAACCCUGUGUACACACGAAAAUGGAACAUUUAGCUUCUCGGUUUCGCCGUGUGUGAAUGAAUCAAUCCUCUAUUUUUCUAUUCAUUGAUCGAGGGCAUUUAAAAGUUUUGUUAUGUCAUUGUACAUUAGAGAAGGCCCAUUAGUUAUUCAAUCUACAUUCCCUUUCAAUCCUUUCAAUGGAGGGGAUCUUAAGGUAUGAAAUUUCUAAAUAUUCUUAGAAACAUGAGCAAUUUUUAAAAUCUUGAACAGUUUUUUGAAAAUUAUGUACACUUUUGGAAAACCGCUAACAAAAUAUGAAAGGAACUUCUUUUAAAAUUCAGAAAAAAAUUCUGAAAACACCAACUCUUCUUAUGAAAAUAUUAACAUUAUUUGAGUUUGUGAACAUUUUUUUAAACGGGAACAUGUGUUGUAAAUUCAUAAGAUUUUUAGAAAAUGUGUAUUUUUUAUACACGAACAUUAUUUUUAAUUAUAAAAAUUUCACUAAAACAAGAAUAUUUUCCAAUUUGGAGAAUUUUUUGAAUUGCCAUUUUUUUAGAAAUCCCGAACAAUUUAAGAAAACAAUAAUUGCUUUUUGAAAAAAUUGGAAACUUUUUGCAAGUUCCAAAUAUUUUUCAAAUAACAACGAAAUUUGAAAUUCUGAACAUUUUCCAAAAUUUGUUUUUUUAGUCUGAACUUUUUUGAUUUUUUUAAUUUACAAAAUAAAUUCUAAAACCAAAAUAAACUUGAAAGGAAAAAAAGAGAUAGGGAAAGGAGAAUAAAAAUGGAAGGAAAACACAGAAACAAAGAAAAAUGGGUCAGCCCAUUAUUCGUUGGCCUGUGCGAACCGAAUAACAAUCAUGAACAUUAUUUGAAUUUGUGAUAUUUUUAAACGAAACAUGUAUUGAAAAAUCAUAAGAUUUUUAGAAAAUGUGUAUCUUUUAUACACAAAUAUUAUUUUAAGUUGGGAAAAUUCAACUGAAACUAACAUAUUUUUCGAAUUUGGAGCAUUGUUUUGAAAUGCCAUUUUAUUUUUAAAAAUCUUGAACAAUUUUGACAAAUUUUAAUUUGUUUUCAAAAAAAAUUGGAAUUUUUUGCAUGUUCCGAAUAUUUAUAGAAACAAAAUUAUGGAAUUCUGAACAUUUUUUAAAUUUUGUUUUUUAAUCUAAGCGCUUUUAGUAUUUUUAUUUAAGAAAUACAUUAAAAAAACUUGGAACAAAAAAAAGAUAGGGAAAGGAUAAUAAAAAUAUUAGUAAAACACACAAAUUAAGAAAAAUGGGCCAGACCAUUAUUGGUUGUCUUGUGCGGAACUUCAACUAUUACAUGCCGAGUGCGAAAAAUUAAAAUUUUCCAACUGCGUGGGAAGAAUAAAUAUGUGGGCUGGCUUCGCUGGGCCAUAAUGCGCGACCGAGUACGAAAAUUCUUUUUCUAACACACAAACGCAUAAGAAUUUAGUACCACCACGAAUAGAAAAAACAUUGGCGGUGAACGGAUGACAAAAUUGACGAAACGCGCCUUGCUUUAUUAGUAGGUAUAUAUCUAGGGUUUAGCCAUUAUGAUCUCGAGGUAGAUCAACUCUUGUAAUCCCUAUAUUCAUCAAAGUCAAUCAAGCAGGAAGUAGGGUAUUACCUCCAUUAAGAGGGCCCGAACCUGGGUAAAACAUCGUAUCCCUGUCUCCUGUUACCUUCGAUCCUCAGACGCACAGUUCGGGACCCCCUACCCGAGAUCUACCGGUUUUGACACUGACAACAGGCAAAUAGGUGUGCACAACAGAUGUUUGGUUAAACAACAGAUUGUAAGUGAAGUCAUGAAUCUUCCCUUUAAGGAUCUUAUGAUCUUUUAAUGUGUCAAAAUAUAAAUACUGCGUGGGUAGGAUAGGAUCAAAGGGUAAAGUUGAAACACCCAGCCCUGGUGCUAAACGUGUGGCAUACAUUCCACCAUCGAAAUAUCCACUGUCAGCGUUGUGCUGAAGUCUGCGUGCAACAAUUGCUCCAAGGUUAUAAUUCCUUUCACCGGUGAGAGCGGUGCGUAUGAGGCUCAAGUCAGGACCACAAAGUGUACUACAAUCUUGCUUGCCUACUAUGCAUUUCUUAUUAAAUAAUGCAAAGUACUGAAUUGUGGAAAAAUGAAUGCUCUUUAUUCUACCUUGUGUCACUGCCCUCGUCUCACCGCAGCAAAGACUAGUUAAGAAUGAUUUGUACUCAGCCCGUGGCGGUUCGUCAAGCGAACCCCGGAACGGAAGUUUGCAGUGGUAAGCAAAAUUCUCUAGUGAGAUGGUAAAUGAAUUAUCAUAAAGCAUAAACGACACCCUAGACUCACGGGGAUGAAAUUUAAAUCCUUUGACAAACGAUUCAGUGAGAAUGUGGCGUCGUUCAAACUUAUCUGAAAUGUAGGGACCGAGACCGGCAUUGUGAACAUAUUGCUCAAAUUCCUCCUUAAUGCCCACACGCACCAUAUAAUCAUCGCAAGGCCAUGAGCAUGUUUUGGUGGCUGCAUCUCAUGUGGAACUUUCACUUGGUUCAACAUAAGACCGGCGAGCGGAACUGUCACUAGAAGAUGCCCCCGAGGAUCCCCUCCUCGAAGAACUCCUUCAAAAUAGGUUCAUCAUGUUCGCGUACAAUUUUCUGAAAAAAUUUGGGUGACCAAAAUUUGUCAACAAAACUUUAUUAAACUGGUAGCAACUACUCAUAGGGAUAAAUAGAGGCCAUAGCAAGCAUUCAAACUACUUAGAACUCUAAUAAUUCAACAUGCAAGCUCAUCUACAACAUCACCAAGAGUAGCUAAUUAUUCAAAAUAUAAACCACUAAAACAAAAACUAAUUAGACAAACGGUGGAGUCACAUACCAAGCAACAAUCCCCCGAAAUAGUUUCGGAAACAGAGCUUCGAGCAAAGAGAUCGAAAUCCGUGGGUUUGAGAGCAACAACACGGGAGAGAGAGCAAUGGAGAUUUUUUUCUGGAGGUAAGUGAUGAUUGAAGGAAAUAUGCCCUAGAGGCAAUAAUAAAGUUAUUAUUUAUUUCCUUAUUUCAUGAUAAAUUUUUAUUAUUCAUGCUAGAAUUGUAUUAACUGGAAACAUAAUACAUGUGUGAAUACAUAGACAAACAAAGUGUCACUAGUAUGCCUCUACUUGACUAGCUCGUUGAUCAAAGAUGGUUAUGUUUCCUAACCAUAGACAUGAGUUGUCAUUUGAUAAACGGGAUCACAUCAUUAGAGAAUGAUGUGACUUGACCCAUUCCGUUAGCUUAGCACUUGAUCGUUUAGUAUGUUGCUAUUUCUUUCUUCAUGACUUAUACAUGUUCCUAUGACUAUGAGAUUAUGCAACUCCCGAAUACCGGAGGAACACUUUGUGUGCUAUCAAACGUCACAACAUAACUGGGUGAUUAUAAAGGCGCUCUACAGGUGUCUCCAAAGGUACUUGUUGAGUUGGCAUAGAUCGAGAUUAGGAUUUGUCACUCCUAUUGUCGGAGAGGUAUCUCUGGGCCCUCUCGGUAAUGCACAUCACUAUAAGCCUUGCAAGCAUUGUAACUAAUGAGUUAGUUGCGGGAUGAUGUAUUACGGAAUGAGUAAAGAGUCUUGCCGGUAACGAGAUUGAACUAGGUAUUGAGAUACCGACGAUCGAAUCUCGGGCAAGUAACAUACCGAUGACAAAGGGAACAAUGUAUAUUGUUAUGCGGUUUGACCGAUAAAGAUCUUCGUAGAAUAUGUGGGAGCCAAUAUGAGCAUCCAGGUUCCGCUAUUGGUUAUUGACCGAAGACGUGUCUCGGUCAUGUCUACAUAGUUCUCGAACCCGUAGGGUCCGCACGCUUAAAGUUCGGUGACAAUCGGUAUUAUGAGUUUUUGUGUUUUGAUGUACCGAAGGUAGUUCGGAGUCCCGGAUAUGAUCACGGACAGGACGAGGAGUCUCAAAAUGGUCGAGACGUAAAGAUCUAUAUAUUGGACGACUAUGUUCGGACACCGGAAAUGUUUCGGGAGGUUUCGGACAUAUACCGGAGUACCGGGGGGUUACCGGAACCCCUCGAGGAGUUUAUUGGGCCUAUUGGGCCUUAGUGGGAGAAGAGGAGGGGCAGCCAGGGCAGCCGCGCGCCCCUCCCCCUCUAGUCCAAAUUGGACAAGGAGGGGGGGCGGCGCCCCCCUUUCCUUCUCUUCCUCUGCCCUUCCCUCUCCUCUCCUACUCCUACUUGGAAGGGGGGAGUCCUACUCCCGGUGGGAGUAGGACUCCUCAUGGGGCACGCCAUAGGGGGCCGGCCCCCUCCCCCUCCUCCACUCCUUUAUAUACGGGGAGGGAGGCACCCCUUGGAGAGACAACAAUUGAUCAUUGAUCUCUUAGCCGUGUGCGGUGCCCCCUCCAUCAUAAUCCACCUCGGUAAUAUCAUAGCGGUGCUUAGGCGAAGCCCUGCGUCGGUAGCAACAUCAUCACCGUCAUCACGCCGUCGUGCUGCCGGAACUCUCCCUCGAAGCUCUGCUGGAUCGGAGUUCGUGGGACGUCAUCAAAUUGAAAGUGUGCUGAACUCGGAGGUGCCGUGCGUUCGGUACUUGGAUCGGUCAGAUCAUGAAGACGUACGACUACAUCAACCGCGUUUUUCUAAUGCUUCUGCUUUCGGUCUACGAGGGCACGUGGACAACACUCUCCCCUCUCGUUGCUAUGCAUCACCAUGAUCUUGCAUGUGCGUAGGAAUUUUUUUGAAAUUACUACGUUCCCCAAAAGUGGUAUCAGAGCCAGGUCUAUGCGUAAAUGUUAUAUGCAUGAGUAGAACACAAGUGAGUUGUGGGCGAUACAAGUCAUACUGCUUACCAGCAUGUCACACUUUGGUUCGGUGAUAUUGUUGGAUGAAGCGGCCUGGACCGACAUUAUGCGUACGCUUACGCGAGACUGGUUCUACCGAUGUGCUUUGCACACAGGUGGCUGGCGGGUGUCAGUUUCUCCAACUUUAGUUGAACUGAGUGUGGCUACGCCCGGUCCUUGUGAAGGUUCAAACAACACUAACUUGACAAACUAUCGUUGUGGUUUUGAUGCGUAGGUAAGAACGGUUCUUGCUCAGCCCGUAGCAGCCACGUAAAACUUGCAACAACAAAGUAGAGGACUUCUAACUUGUUUUUGCAGGGCAUGUUGUGAUGUGAUAUGGUCAACACAUGAUGCUAAAUUUUAUUGUAUGAGAUGAUCAUGUUUUGUAACAAAGUUAUCGGCAAUUGGCAGGAGCCAUAUGGUUGUCGCUUUAUUGUAUGCAAUGCAAUCGCCCUGUAAUUACUUUACUUUAUCACUAAGCGGUAGCAAUAGUAGUAGAAGCAAUAGUUGGCGAGACGACAACGAUGCUACGAUGAAGAUCAAGGUGUCGCGCCGGUGACGAUGGUGAUCAUGACGGUGCUUUGGAGAUGGAGAUCACAGGCACAAGAUGAUGAUGGCCAUAUCAUAUCACUUAUAUUGAUUGCAUGUGAUGUUUAUCCUUUAUGCAUCUUAUUUUGCUUAGAUCGACGGUAGCAUUAUAAGAUGAUCUCUCACUAAAUUUCAAGGUACAAGUGUUCUCCCUGAGUAUGCACCAUUGCGAAAGUUCGUCGUGCCGAGACACCACGUGAUGAUCGGGUGUGAUAAGCUCUACGUUCACAUACAACGGGUGCAAGCCAGUUUUGCACAUGCAGAAUACUCGGGUUAAACUUGACGAGCAUAGCAUAUGCAGAUAUGGCCUCGGAACACUAAGACCGAAAGGUCGAGCGUGAAUCAUAUAGUAGAUAUGAUCAACAUAGUGAUGUUCACUAUCGAAAACUACUCCAUCUCACGUGAUGAUCGGACAUGGUUUAGUUGAUAUGGAUCACGUGAUCACUUAGAUGAUUAGAGGGAUGUCUAUCUAAGUGGGAGUUCUUUAAUAAUUUGAUUAACUGAACUAUAAUUUAUCAUGAACUUAGUACUUGCUAGUAUUUUGCAUGUCUAUGUUGUUGUACAUAGAUGGCCUGUGCUGUUGUUCCAUUGAAUUUUAAUGCGUUCCUUGAGAAACCAAAGUUGAAAGAUGAUGGUAGCAAUUACACGGACUGGGUCCGUAACUUGAGGAUUAUCCUCAUUGCUGCACAGAAGAAUUACGUCCUGGAAGCACCGCUAGGUGCCAAACCUGCUGCAGGAGCUGAACCAGAUGUUAUGAACGUCUGGCAAAGCAAAGCUGAUGACUACUCGAUAGUUCAGUGUGCCAUGCUUUACGGCCUAGAACCGGGACUUUAACGACGUUUAGAACGUCGUGGAGCAUAUGAGAUGUUCUAGGAGUUGAAGUUAAUAUUUUAAGCAAAUGCCCGGAUUGAGAGAUAUGAAGUCUCCAAUAAGUUCUACAACUGUAAGAUGGAGGAGAAUAGUUCUGUCAGUGAGCAUAUACUCAGAAUGUCUGGGUAUAACAAUCACUUGAUUCAACUGGGAGUUAAUCUUCCGGAUGAUAGCGUCAUUGACAGAAUUCUUCAAUCACUACCACCAAGCUACAAGAGCUUCGUGAUGAACUAUAACAUGCAAGGGAUGGAUAAGACGAUUCCCGAGCUCUUCGCAAUGCUAAAUGCUGCGGAGGUAGAAAUCAAGAAGGAGCAUCAAGUGUUGAUGGUCAACAAGACCACCAGUUUCAAGAAAAAGGGUAAAGGGAAGAAGAAGGGGAACUUCAAGAAGAACAACAAGCAAGUUGCUGCUCAAGAGAAGAAACCCAAGUUUGGACCUAAACCUGAGACUGAGUGCUUCUACUACAAACAGACUGGUCACUGGAAGCGGAACUGCCCCAAGUAUUUGGCGGAUAAGAAGGAUGGCAAGGUGAACAAAGGUAUAUGUGAUAUACAUGUUAUUGAUGUGUACCUUACUAAUUCUCACAGUAGUGCCUGGGUAUUUGAUACUGGUUCUGUUGCUAAUAUUUGCAACUCGAAACAGGGACUACGGAUUAAGCAAAAAUUGGCUAAGGACGAGAUGACGAUGCGCAUGGGAAAUGGUUCGAAAGUCGAUGUGAUCGCAGUCGGCACGUUACCUCUACAUCUACCUCCGGGAUUAGUUUUAGACCUAAAUAAUUGUUAUUUGGUGCCAGCGUUGAGCAUGAACAUUAUAUCUGGAUCUUGUUUGAUGCGAGACGGUUAUUCAUUUAAAUCAGAGAAUAAUGGUUGUUCUAUUUAUAUGAGUAAUAUCUUUUAUGGUCAUGCACCCUUAAAGAGUGGUCUAUUCUUUUUGAAUCUCGAUAGUGAUACACAUAUUCAUAGUAUUGAAGCCAAAAGAUGCAGAGUUGAUAAUGAUAGUGCAACUUAUUUGUGGCACUGCCGUUUAGGUCAUAUUGGUGUAAAGUGCAUGAAGAAACUACAUUCCGAUGGACUUUUGGAAUCACUUGAUUAUGAAUCACUUGGUACUUGCGAACCAUGCCUCAUGGGCAAGAUGACUAAAACACCGUUCUCCGGAACUAUUGAGUGAGCAACAGAUUUGUUGGAGAUCAUACAUACUGAUGUAUGUGGUCCAAUGAAUGUUGAGGCUCGCGGCGGGUAUCGUUAUUUUCUCACUUUCAUAGAUGAUUUGAGCAGAUAUGGGUAUAUCUACUCGAUGAAACAUAAGUCUGAAACUUUUGAAAAGUUCAAUGAAUUUCAGAGUGAAGUUGAAAAUCAUCGUAACAAGAAAAUAAAGUUUCUACGAUCUGAUCGUGGAGGAGAAUAUUUGAGUUACGAGAUUGGUCUUCAUUUGAAACAAUGCGGAAUAGUUUCACAACUCACGCCACCCGGAACACCACAACGUAAUGGUGUGUCCGAACGUCAUAAUCGUACUUUACUAGAUAUGGUGCGAUCUAUGAUGUCUCUUACUGAUUUACCGCUAUCGUUUUGGGGAUAUGGUUUGGAGACAUUUGCAUUCACGUUAAAAUAGGGCACCAUCUAAAUCCGUUGAGACGACUCCUUAUGAACUGUGGUUUGGCAAGAAACCAAAGUUGUCGUUUCUUAAAGUUUGGGGCUGCGAUGCUUAUGUGAAAAAGCUUCAACCUGAUAAGCUCGAACCCAAAUCGGAGAAAUGUGUCUUCAUAGGAUACCCAAAAGAGACUGUUGGGUACACCUUCUAUCGCAGAUCCGAAGGCAAGACAUUCGUUGCUAAGAAUGGAUCCUUUCUAGAGAAGGAGUUUCUCUUGAAAGAAGUGAGUGGGAGGAAAGUAGAACUUGAUGAGGUAACUGUACAUGCUCCCUUAUUGGAAAGUAGUUCAUCACAGAAACCGGUUCCUGUGACACCUACACCAAUUAGUGAGGAAGCUAAUGAUGAUAAUCAUGAAACUUCAGAUCAAGUUACUACCGAACCUCAUAGGUCAACUAGAGUAAGAUCCGCACCAGAGUGGUACGGUAAUCCUGUUCUGGAGGUCAUGUUACUAGACCAUGAUGAACCUAUGAACUAUGAGGAAGCGAUGAUGAGCCCAGAUUCCGCAAAAUGGCUUGAGGCCAUGAAAUCUGAGAUGGGAUCCAUGUAUGAGAACAAAGUAUGGACUUUGGUUCACUUGCCCGAUGAUCGGAAAGCCAUUGAGAAUAAAUUAAUCUUCAAGAAGAAGACAGAUGUUGAAGGUAAUAUUACUGUCUACAAAGCUCGACUUGUUGCGAAAGGUUUUCGACAAGUUCAAGGAGUUGACUAUGAUGAGACCUUCUCACCCGUAGCGAUGCUUAAGUCCGUCCGAAUCAUGUUAGCAAUUGUCGCAUUUUAUGAUUAUGAAAUUUGGCAAAUGGAUGUGAAUACUGCAUUCCUGAAUGGAUUUCUGGAAGAAGAGUUGUAUAUGAUGCAACCUGAAGGUUUUAUCGAUCCAAAGGGUGCUAACAAAGUGUGCAAGAUCCAGCGAUCCAUUUAUGGACUGGUGCAAGCCUCUCGGAGUUGGAAUAAACACUUUGAUAGUGUGAUCAAAGCAUAUGGUUUUAUACAGACUUUUGGAGAAGCCUGUAUUUACAAGAAAGUGAGUGGGAGCUCUGUAGCAUUUCUAAUACUAUAUGUGGAUGACAUACGGUUGAUUGGAAAUGACGUAGAAUUUCUGGAUAGCAUGAAAGGAUACUUGAAUAAGAGUUUUACAAUGAAAGACCUUGGUGAAGCUGCUUACAUAUUGGGCAUCAAGAUCUAUAGAGAUAGAUCAAGAUGCUUAAUUGGACUUUCACAAAGCACAUACCUUGACAAAGUUUUGAAGAAGUUCAAAAUGGAUCAGGCAAAGAAAGGGUUCUUAUCUGUGUUACAAGGUGUGAAGUUGAGUAAGACUCAACGCCCGACCACUGCAGAAGAUAGAGAGAAAAUGAACGAUGUUCCCUAUGCUUCAGCCAUAGGCUCUAUCAUGUAUGCAAUGUUGUGUACCAGACCUGAUGUGUGCCUUGCUAUAAGUCUAGCAGGGAGGUACCAAAGUAAUCCAGGAGUGGAUCAGUGGACAGCAGUCAAGAACAUCCUGAAAUACCUGAAAAGGACUAAGGAUAUGUUUCUCGUUUAUGGAGGUGACAAAGAGCUCGUCGUAAAUGGUUACGUCGAUGCAAGCUUUGACACUGAUCCGGACGAUUCUAAAUCACAAACCGGAUACGUGUUUAUAUUGAACGGUGGAGCUGUCAGUUGGAGCAGUUCUAAACAAAGCGUCGUGGCAGGAUCUACAUGUGAAGUGGAGUACAUAGCUGCUCCGGAAGCAGCAAAUGAAGGAGUCUAGAUGAAGGAGUUCAUAUCCGAUCUAGGUGUCAUACCUAGUGCAUCGGGUCCAAUGAAAAUCUUUUGUGACAAUACUGGUGCAAUUGCCAUGGCAAAGGAAUCCAUAUUUCACAAGAGAACCAAGCACAUCAAGAGACGCUUCAAUUCCAUCCGCGAUCAAGUCUAGGGUGGGGACAUAAAGAUUUGCAAGAUACAUACGGAUCUGAAUGUUGCAGACCCGUUGACUAAGCCUCUCUCACGAGCAAAACAUGAUCAUCACCAAGGCUCCAUGGGUGUAAGAAUCAUUACUGUGUAAUCUAGAUUAUUGACUCUAGUGCAAGUGGGAGACUGAAGGAAAUAUGCCCUAGAGGCAAUAAUAAAGUUCUUAUUUAUUUCCUUAUUUCAUGAUAAAUGUUUAUUAUUCAUGCUAGAAUUGUAUUAACCGGAAACAUAAUACAUGUGUGAAUACAUAGACAAACAAAGUGUCACUAGUAUGCCUCUACUUGACUAGCUCGUUGAUCAAAGAUGGUUAUGUUUCCUAACCAUAGAGAUGAGUUGUCAUUUGAUAAACGAGAUCACAUCAUUAGAGAAUGAUGUGAUUGACUUGACCCAUUCCGUUAGCUUAGCACUUGAUCAUUUAGUAUGUUGCUAUUGCUUUCUUCAUGACUUAUACAUGUUCCUAUGACUAUGAGAUUAUGCAACUCCCGUUUACCGGAGGAACACUUUGUGUGCUACCAAAGGUCACAACAUAACUGGGUGAUUAUAAAGGUGCUCUACAGGUGUCUCCGAAGGUACUUGUUGGGUUGGCGUAUUUCGAGAUUAGGAUUUGUCACUCCAAUUGUCGGAGAGGUAUCUCUGGGCCCUCUCGGUAAUGCACAUCACUUUAGCCUUGCAAGCAUUGCAACUAAUGAGUUAGUUGUGGGAUGAUGUAUUACGGAACGAGUAAAGAGACUUGCCGGUAACGAGAUUGAACUAGGUACUGAGAUACCGACGAUCGAAUCUCGGGCAAGUAACAUACCGAUGACAAAGGGAACAACGUAUGUUGUUAUGCGGUCUGACCGAUAAAGAUCUUCGUAGAAUAUGUGGGAGCCAAUAUGAGCAUCCAGGUUCCGCUAUUGGUUAUUGACCGGAGACGUGUCUCGGUCAUGUCUACAUAGUUCUCGAACCCGUAGGGUCCGCAUGCUUAAAGUUCGGUGACGAUCGGUAUUAUGAGUUUUUGUGUUUUGAUGUACCGAAGGUAGUUCGGAAUCCCAGAUAUGAUCACGGACAUGACGAGGAGUCUCGAAAUGGUUGAGACGUAAAGAUCGAUAUAUUGGACGACUAUGUUCGGACACCGGAAAUGUUUCGGACAUAUACCGGAGUACCGGGGGGUUACCGGAACCCCCCGAGGAGUUUAUUGGGCCUAUUGGGCCUUAGAGGGAGAAGAGGAGGGGCAGCCAGGGCAGCCGUGCGCCCCCUCCCCCUCUAAUCCGAAUUGGACAAGGAGGGGGGCCGGCGCCCCCCUUUCCUUCUCUUCCUCUCUCCCUUCCCUCUCCUCUCCUACUCCUACUUGGAAGGGGGGUGUCCUACUCCCGGUGGGAGUAGGACUCCUCAUGGGGCGCGCCAUAGGGGGCCGGCCCCCUCCCCCUCCUCCACUCCUUUAUAUACGGGGAGGGAGGCACCCCUUGGAGAGACAAAAAUUGAUCAUUGAUCUCUUAGCCGUGUGCGGUGCCCCCCUCCACCAUAACCCACCUCGGUAAUAUCGUAGCGGUGCUCAGGCGAAGCCCUGCGUCGGUAGCAACAUCAUCACCAUCAUCACGCCGUCGUGCUGACGGAACUCUCCCUCGAAGCUCUGCUGGAUCGGAGUUCGUGGGACGUCAUCGAAUUGAACGUGUGCUGAACUUGGAGGUGCCGUGAGUUCGGUACUUCGAUCGGUCGGAUCGUGAAGACGUACGACUACAUCAACCGCGUUGUUCUAAUGCUUCCGUUUUCGGUCUAUGAGGGUACGUGGACAACACUGUCCCCUCUCGUUGCUAUGCAUCACCAUGAUCUUGCGUAUGCGUAGGAAUUUUUUUGAAAUUACUACGUUCCCCAACAAUGAUGUGGUAUGAAGAGAUAAGUGAGGGGGCCCACGUGGGGACCACAACCCACCAGGGCGUGCCUGGGGGUCCUGGCGCGCCCAGGUAGGUUGUGCCCACCUGGUGCACCUCCCUCUGAUAUUAUUUACACCAGGAAUUCAGAAAUAUUCAGAAAAAAAAAUCGUAUUAAAUUUUUAGAGCAUUAUGAGAACUUUUAUUUUUGGGUCAUUUUUUAUUGCACGGGAAAUUGAGAAAACAGACAAACCAUGGCAUUUUAUUUUAUUUAACUAAUAACAAUAGAGAAUAAAAAGUAAGGACACAAGGUAGUGCUUACUAAAUACAUCAACUUCAUACCGCUCAAAAAUGAUUCAUUAAUAAGGUUGAUCAGGUCUUUUUAACAACCACUUUCGAUUAGCAUGAAACCGAAGAACUUUCGUAAAUCACUAAAUUACCUCAAUGAGGAUAUGAAUGUCCCCAACAAUAAGCAUUUCAUAUUUCUUUUUGACAGUAGGUGAAGGUAUUUGAAAACUUUCAAUAGUGAUUGUCGGAGAUUUUUCAAUAACAUUAAUACCAUUCACUUGGAAUUGUUUCUUCGGAAAGUGCACCGUAAGCUCAUUACCAUUGAUAUGAAAAGUGACCUUGCUUUUAUUGCAAUCAAUAACAGCCCUUGCAGUAUUCAAGAAAGGUCUACCAAGGAUAAUCGACAUGUUGUCGCCCUCGGGCAUCUCAAGUAUAACAAAGUCAGUCAAAAUAGUAACAUUAGCAACAACAGCGGGCACAUCCUCACAGAUACCGAUAGGUAUGGCAGUUGAUUUGUCAGCCAUUUGCAAAGAUAUUUCAGUAGGUGUGAGUUUAUUCAAAUCAAGUCUUUUAUAUAAAGAGAAGGACAUAACACUAACACCAGCUCCUAAAUCACACAAAGCAGUUUUCACAUAAUUCUUUUUGAUGGAGCAAGGUAGAGUUGGUAUUCCCGGAUCUCCAAGUUUUUUAGGUACUCCAUAUUUAAAAGUUUAAUUAGCAAGCAUAGUGGAGAUUUCAACUUCUGAUAUUUUUCUCUUAUUAGUGAUGAUACCUUUCAUAUACUUUGCAUAAGGAGGCAUUUUCAAGAUAUCAGUCAAGCGAGUACGCAAAAAGACUGGCCUCAGCAUUUCAGCAAAGCGUUCAAAUUCUUCAUCAUCAUUCUUUUUAGUUGGCUUGGGUGGAAAUGGCAUAGGUUUUUGAAUCCACGGUUCUCUUUCUUUACCGUGUUUUCUAGCCACAAAGUCUCUUUUAUCAUAUCUUUUAUUCUUAGGUUGUGGGUUAUCAAGAUCAACAGGUGGUUCUAUCUCAACAUCAUUAUCUGGUUCUUAUUAUUUGUUUGAGUGUCUUCAUGAACCUCAUCAUUUUCUUUUUCAUUAUCCUAAGGUGAGUGUUCAUUACCAGAUUGAGUUUCAGCAUCAGAAAUAGAAGUUUCAUUAUCAUUAUCAGGAGGUUUUUCUAUUUCAAGUUCACUAGAAGCAUGCAAAGUCCUACCAUUUUUCUUCUUCUUUUUCUUUCUAGAAGGACUAGGUGUGUCAGUGUUAACCCUUUGUGAAUCUUGUUCAAUUCUUUUUGGGUGUCCCUCAGGAUAAAGUGGUUCCUGAGUCAUUUUACCUCCUCUAGUUGCAACUCUAACAGCAAAGUCAUGUAUAUUAUUAUUCAUUUCAUCAAGUAAUUCUCUUUGUGAUUUAGCAACUUGUUCUAACUGAGUUUGAACCAUAGAAGCAUGUUUUCCAACACCUCUAACAUCAUUUGAAAUUCUAAAUAACAAGUCACUCAAGCGAGCAAUCAUAUCAUAAUUGUAUUUCAAUUGUUUCAUAACAUUUUCAUUGAAGUGAUCUUGUUUUCUAAUGUAGUUUUCAAACUCAUAAAGGCAUUGGCUAGGAUCCAUAUUGUGGGGAAUGUCAUUAUCAUUGAACUUCAUUAAAGAAUUUACCUCUACCACCUUAGAUGGUGGUGGUGUAUUAAGCCCAUGUAUUUCUUCAAUAGGAGGUAAAUUUUAACAUCCUCAACUUUAAUACCUUUUUCCUUCAUAGAUUUCUUUGCCUCUUGCAUAUCUUCACGACUGAGAUAUAAUAUACCCCUCUUCUUCGGAGUGGGUUUAGGCGGUGGUUCAGGAAGAGUCCAAUCAUCAUCAUUUUUCAACAUGUUAUUCAAUAAUUCUUCAGCUUGCCCAAUAGUUCGUUCCCUGUAAACACAACCAGCACAACUAUCUAGGAAGUCCCUAUAAGCAUCAGUUAGUCCAUUAUAGAAGAUAUCAAGUAUUUCAUUUUUCUUAAGAGGAUGAUCAGGCAAAGUAUUAAGUAAUUGGAAAAGCCUCCCCCAAGCUUGUGGGAGACUCUCUUCUUUAGUUUGCACAAAGUUAAAUAUUUCCUGUAAGGCAGCUUGUUUCUUAUGAGCAGGGAAAUAUUUUUCAGAGAAGUAAUAAAUCAUAACCUGGGGACUACGCACACAACCAGGAGCAAGAGUAUUGUACCAAGAUUUAGCAUCACCCUUUAAUGAGAACGGAAACAAUCUGAAAAUAAUGUAAUAGCGAGUCUUCUCAUCAUGAGUAAAAACGUUGGCUAUAUCAUUCAACUUAGUAAGAUGUGCCACAAUAGUUUUAGUUUCAUAACCAUGGAAAGGAUCGGAUUCAACCAAAGUAAUCAACUCUGGGUCGACAGAGAAUGCAUAAUCCUUAUCAUCAAUAAAGAUAGGUGAAGUAGCAAACUUAGGAUCAUAUUUCAUUCUAGCAUUCAGAUAUUUUUCUUUAUACUUGCAUAAUAAUUUCUCUAGAUCACCCCUAUCCUUACAAGCAAGAAUAUCUCUAGUUGUCUCCUCAUUCAUAACAUAGCCUUCCAGUACCUUAGGCAAUUCAUAUCUAGGAAGGCUAGUUCUAGCAGGUGUUUCAGGAGUUUCAGUUUCAAGCUCAUCAUCAGAUUCAACAGCAUAUGUUGUAUUACUCUAGCAAUUUGUUCAUCAAGAAAUUCACCAAGUGGCACAUCAUCAUUAUCAAGCAAGGUACUAGCAUCAUCAUAAGCAUUAUCCAUCGCAGAAGUAGCAUCAUCAAUAACUUGUGACAUAUCAGGAUUAAUAUCAUGUGGUGGUGUUGCAAGUUUGCUUAGAACAGAAGGUGAAUCUAAAGCACAACUAGAUGGCAGUUCCUUACCUCCCCUCGUCUUCGAGGGAAAUAUCUUAGUCUUAGCAUCCUUCAAAUUCUUCAUAGUGAUAAAUUGAUAAUAACCCCAAGUGACUCAACAAAUAUAGCUAUGCUCCCCGGCAACGGCGCCAGAAAAAGGUCUUGAUAACCCAAAAGUAUAAAGGAUCGCAACAGUUUUCGAGGGUAGAGUAUUCAACCCAAAUUUAUAGAUUCGACACAAGUGGAGCCAAAGAAUAUUUGAAGGUAUUAGCAGCUGAGUUGUCAAUUCAACCACACUUGGAGAUUAAUUAUCUGCAGCAAGUAAUCAGUAGCAAAGUAAUAUGAUAAUUUUGAUAAUAGUAACAGUAGCAACGGUAACGGUAACAAUGAUAGCAGUAAUUUUGUAGCAAGUGUAACAGUGAUGAUAGCAAUAGUAACUUAGCAAGAACAAUAUAAGAUAAAUUUGUAGGCAUUGGAUCGGUGACUCGUUGGGUGAUAUUCAUCAUGAGACAGUUAUAACCUUGGGUGAUACGGCGCUAGCUUCAGUUCAUUAAUAUAAUGUAGGCAUGUAUUCCGUAAAUAGUCAUACGUGCUUAUGGAAAGAACUUGCAUGACAUCUUUUGUCCUACCCUCCCGUGGCAGUGGGGUCCAUAUUGGAAACUAAGGGAUAUUAAGGCCUCCUUUUAAUAGAGAACCGGAACAAAGCAUUAACACAUAGUGAAUAUAUGAACUCCUCAAACUACGGUCAUCACCGGGAUUGGUCCCGACUAUUGUCACUCUGGGGUUGCCAGAUCAUAACACGUAGUAGGUGACUAUAACUUGCAAGAUCACAUCUAAAUCAUGGAUAUAAUGAUGAUAACAUAAACGGUUCAGAUCUGAGUUCAUGGCACCCGGGCCCAAAGUGACAAGCAUUAAGCAUGGCAAAGUCAUAACAACAUCAAUCUUAGAACAUAGUGGAUACUAGGGAUCAAGCCCUAACAAAACUAACUCGAUUACAUGAUGAAUCGCAUCCAACUCCUCACCGACUAGAUGGCCUACGAAGGAAUUACUCACUCCCGGUGGGGAGCAUCAUGGAAUUGGUGAUGGAGAAGAGUUGGUGAUGACGAAGAACGAAGAUCCCCCCUCUCCAGAGCCCCAAACGCACUCCAGAUCUGGCCUCUCGAUGAAGAACAGGAGGUGACGGCGGCUUCGUCUCGUGGAUCGCGAUAAUUCUUUCUCCCUCAUUUUUUCUGGAAAAAUAGGAUUUUAUAGCGUCGGUUUCAGGGUCUGCGGGGCCACCAGGUGGGGACAACCCACCUGGGCGCGCCCUAGUGGGUUGUGCCCACCCAGGUGCCCCUCUUCGGUAGGUCUUGGCUCUAGAAAUUCUUAUUUAUUAUAUAAAAAAUUCCUCGCAAAGUUUCGUUCCAUUCCGAGAACUUUUAUUUCUGCACAAAAACAACACCAUGGUAGUUCAGCUGAAAACAGCGUCAGUCCGGGGUUAGUUUCAUUCAAAUCAUGCAAAUUAGAGGCCAAAACAAGAGGAAAAGUGUUAGGAAAAGUAGAUACGUUGGAGACGUAUCAGUAAGCAAGCUCCCCAACGCCGUCUGGCCCAAGGGGCGUUCGUGGAGACUGUUAAGGUGUGGCAGCAGGAGUGGUUCUACAUCACCAAACCUCGCGAUGCAAAAACACAUCACCAAAAUGAUAGGCAAAAACACCGGACUCACAAAUGUGAUUCAGGUGAUGGUCUUCCGCCGGACUCUCCCUUGCCAGCCCCGGGUGACGGAGUCCUGGAUUAGGGUGUCCGGGCUGUGUGAUAUGGGCCGGACUGAUGGGCUGUGAAGAUACAAGGCAGAAGACCUUCCCCCGUGUCCGAGUAGGACUCUCUUAUGCGUGGAUGGCAAGAUUGGUGUCCGGAUAUGUAAUUUCCUUCCUCUGUAAACCGACUCUGUACAACCCUAGGCCCCUCUGGUGUGUAUAUAAACCAGAGGGUUUAGUCCAUAGAGGCUAUCAGAAUUUACAUAGGCUACACAACUAGGGUUUAGCCAUUAUGAUCUCGAGGUAGAUCAACUCUUGUAAUCCCUAUACUCAUCAAAUUCAGUUAAGUAGGAAGUAGGGUUUUACCUCCAUUAAGAGGGCCCGAACUUGGGCAAACAUCGUGUCCCCUUUGUCUCUUGUUACCUUCGAUCAUCAGACGCACAGUUCGGGACCCCCUACCCGAGAUCAGCUAGUUUUGACACCGACAUUGGUGCUUUCAUUGAGAGUUCCACUGUGUCGUCGGUAAAAGGUUUGAUGGCUCGUUCGAUCAUCAACAAUGAUGCUGUUUCCGGGGAAACGUUCCUCCCUGGUCAACUUUUUGUGUUUGGCGGCCUCGCUCUGCGUGCCAACUCAACUGGACUCCUUGAACAGAUCGACAGCUAUGCCCCUGGUCAUCAGAUCAGGUUCGGAAGCCUGAAUUACGUCGUUGAUAUCCGAGGAGACUUGAUCUUCGAAGGGUUCUCGGCUUCGACUGCUCCUCACCCACAAGGAGGAAACCUGUCGGAUCCACCAUCAGGCUCUGUUCAAGAAUUAACUACCAUCCCUGCCCUGGCCUUAGAUCCAGAGCAGACCACCUCAUCCAAAGAUGGGAGCUUGAAACCCACCGGAACCCCUCCUACUACGGAGCUCCUUGCCGGAGACCCAGAGGCAGCCAUGUUAUCGACGGACCUGAAAUCAAACAGGACUCUUCCUGUCGUCGGAAAGCCAGACCCACCUUUGGAUGCUAACUCCGAGCUCUCAAGGUCUGUGUCCAUUGAGCACAGUCAAGUGGCAUUUACCAUGCCCAGCUCCGCAGGUCCUCGGUUUCCCGUCCAGCCCUCACUCUUAAACGAGGCUCUUGACUUAAUGCGAUCUCUCGCCAUUAUGGAAGUGUCACAUCUGAACUACGCCCAGCCCGAACUAGGGGCUGAGUGUGGGGAAUUUUGCGUCCCACCCACCACCCACUUGGUAGCCACUGUCGAGGACUUAACCGAGAUGCUCGACUACACGUCCGAAGACAUCGAUGAUAUGGAAGACGAUGUCGGAGCUGACCCAGGCCAAAAUCCGCCUAUCUCUAGGCGUUGGACGGCCACCUCUACAUACAACGUGUAUAUGGUAGAUACACCUAAAAAGGACGGCGACGACAGGCAGGACCCGAUGGAGGACAAGCCUGUCGAAGCACCACCAAAGCGCCGACGUCAGCGGCGCUGCUCAAAAUCACGUCGUGAAAAGGAAAGCAACACCGGCACCGGAGACAAUGACACUCUGGAUGACGCCGAACACCCCGAAGACCCCGUCGAACCUACAUCCGACCAGGAUGAACCUGUCGAACCUGUCGAGAAUGACGAUUCGGAGGAUAGUAACUAUCUAGCGGUCUCCGAGGAGGAUGUCAGCCUCGGCAACGACGAUUUCAUCAUGCCAAAGGAACCCCUCGAGCAAGAGCGCUUUAAGCGACAGGUAAUCGCCACAGCGAGGAGCCUAAAAAAGAAACAUCAACAGCUUCAACCUGAACAGGAUACGCUCAAUGACAGAUGGGCCCAGGUCCUAGCUGCCGAAGAAUACGGCCUCGAGCGCCCAACAAAGAGCUAUCCGAAGCGUCGGCUACUGCCACAAUUCGACGACGAGGCCCUUGAGCCAAUACCGUCAAGAUAUAAUCACGCUGACGAACCAGACCGACCACCACACGGAUGGGACAAAGUGGCUGCUUAUGCCGAACACCAGCCCGCGCCACCUCGCCGUCGAGGCAAAGAGAUAGCGGCUCCGGGCUACACCUAUGAUCUAUGAAAGGACCUGGACAAUAGAGCUGAUCAGACCAGAUCAAUCUAUGAAUCAAGGGGACGAGCUCCAACAAGAGACGACGACCAUCAAGCUUGGCGUGAUAAGCAUAACCAAACUCGGAAUGAAAACCGAACACGGAUGUCAUCUGAACUCCGUCAUGACGUUGCCCGAUACAGAGGCACCGCACACCCCUUGUGCUUUACCGAUGAGGUAAUGCAGCACCAGUUUCCAGAAAGUUUUAAACCCGUAAACAUUGAAGCAUAUGAUGGAACGACAGAUCCUACUAUAUGGAUUGAAGACUUCCUUCUCCAUAUUCACAUGGCUCGCGGUGAUGAUCUCCACGCCAUCAAAUACCUCCCCCUAAAACUAAAGGGACCAGCACGAGAUAGGUUAAAUAGCCUCCCAGAGAACUCUAUUGGCAGCUGGGAAGAUUUGGAGGAUGCCUUUCGAGACAACUUCCAAGGUACUUAUGUCCGACCACCGGACGCCGAUGAUCUCAGCCACAUAGUCCAGCAACCCGGAGAGGCAGCCCGCAAACUCUGGACUCGGUUCUUAUUAAAAAGAACCAACUCAUCGACUGUCCGAACGCCGAAGCCCUAGCGGCCUUUAAACAUAGCGUCCACAAUGAAUGGCUCACCCGACACCUCGGUCAUGAAAAGCUGGAGUCCAUGGCAGCUCUUACCACACUCAUGACCCGCUUCUGUGCGGGAGAAGAUAGCUGGUUAGCUCGCAGAAGCAACAGCACCAGCGACCCUGGCACCUCCGAAGCCAGGGAUGGCAAUGGAAGGCCACGAUGCAACAAACAUAAGUGUUAGAACAACAAUGAAGAUACUGAAGAUACGGCGGUCAAUGCUAGAUUCAGCGGCUCUAAACAUGUUCAAUGGAAGAAGCCAUUAAAAGGAAAUAGGGAUGGUCCAUCUAAUUUGGAAAAAAUACUCGACCGGCCUUGCCAGAUUCAUGGCACCCCUGACAAGCCUGCCAACCACUCUAACAAAAAUUGUUGGGUUUUUAAACAUGCCGGUAAGCUAAAUACCGAACAAAAGGGGAAAGGGCCGCCAAGCGAGGAUGACGACGAGUCCCGCCCAUCGAACACGGGGGGGGGGUCCCCAUGAGGUGAAAACAGUGAAUAUGAUAUAUGUUAGGCACAUCCCCAAGAGGGAGCGCAAGCGCGCACCAAGGGACGUCUAUGCCGUAGAGCCUGUCGCCCCAAAAUUCAACCCAUGGUCGGCUUGCCCGAUCACCUUCGAUCGCAGGGACCACCCGACCAGUAUCCGUCAUGGAGGUUCGGCAGCCCUAGUCCUUGAUCCAAUCAUUGAUGGAUACCAUCUCACUCGAGUCCUUAUGGACGGCGGCAGCAGUCUUAACCUGAUCUAUCAAGACACUGUUCGUAAAAUGGUUAUUGACCCAUCAAGAAUCAAGCCUAGUAACACCACCUUUAAAGGGGUGAUAGCCGGCAUAGAGGCCCGCUGCACGGGUUCAUUAACAUUGGAAGUAGUCUUUGGCUCGCCGGAUAACUUUCGAAGCAAAGACUUGAUCUUCGACAUUGUCCCCUUUCGCAGUAGCUAUCACGCACUGCUCCGACGAACUGCCUUCGCCCGUUUCAAUGUCGUCCCGCACUAUGCUUACUUAAAGCUCAAAAUGCCUGGACCACGUGGCGUUAUCAAAGUCAAUGGAAACAUGGAGCACUCCCUCCAUACUGAGGAGCACACCGCGUCCCUCGCAGCCGAGGUGCAGAGUGGCCUCAUCAAGCCGAACACGUCAUCGGCCAUCAAGACCCCGGACACUGCUAAGCGAGUCCGGCCUACUCUGCAGAAUGACAGCUCGGUUAAUCCAGAGCUAGACUAGCAGUUUUGCCUCUGCCGAUCGCCCCACACAACCGCGGCAUACGUACCGCAUGUGCAUAAUUAUGCACUCAAAAUACCCUGGGCAACGACGGAGGCACACUGCGGACAACGUCUAUAGUGCGGCUUGACCCUAUUUGACCUUAACUUUUCUUCUCUGAUCUUUUUCCUCAUACUACAGGUUCAUUAAAACCUAACUAUCCUAUGGUCAUGCAAGGGCUCUUUCCAGACCCCUUUCGUAUAAACGACCGUUGAACUGCUCCUCUCAAAGGAUUGUCUACCAAGGAGAAAUGGCGCAGAUGUGCGGCAGGGCAUCAAUGGGAUCUUCAAGACUACCUUUUUUUUACGCCCUGUUUAUAACUUCCCCUUGUGUACAAAUUCUCGGCAUGUAAAAUAGCCUUGAUGUUUACGGCAUUAUCUGUAUAGCACGUCUUAACGUGUUAAUCAGAGUAUAAAGGAAACAGUUUAUCGCCUCUGUUCGGUAUUCGUUUAUUUUACCACAUGUAUUCCGUCUUUGUUUCAGAUUGCCAUAUAUACUUUGGCCCGGCCUAAAUGCCGAGGGCUCUAUUUGGCCACACAUAUUUUCAUAAGUCCGAACACUUCUAAAGUAUAGUUCUGUGUCCCGAAUAUUGCAUUAUAUGCAUCAACUCCGAAUCAUGUCUUUGGUCAAUAGUUGGGUUGCCCGGCUCCUAUGAUUACCACCUUACGUUCCGCUCGUUUGUCUAAGGUAGUAAAGGGAGAACUACUGUGAUUGUGUUUCUGGUUCGUCCGGUUAAAAACCUUAGUAGAGGAAGCCGAAAAUUGACUGUCAUGAUAUGGCGAGAGCUGGUCGGCGAUUCAGCGACUUGCCACAAAUCUUUUGUGAUUUGCUCCAUAUUAUACGAAGGGCUGACCUUUGCUCAGUCAUGUGCUUAAGGCAUCCUAGUUCGGAUGGCCGCAUAUGCACUAGGGGCUAGUACUUAGCCCCACUGUCAAACUCCUAUGGCUAAGUGAAAGUAAUAAAGCCGUAUAGUCUGAUUGCCUAGUUCGCUGCGCAGACACCUCCUUUACGGACCAAGACGUUGGGUCAAGUGUGAUAGUGCGUUACACCGAACACCUCCGUAGUAUCUACGUGGGGGCUGAAGUUGACGACUCGCAAACUUUCAGAAUUGACACGGUCGCACAGGAGGAAAAUAAUUUCAGAUGAAGGCAUAAAUAUAUUACAAGCUUCAGUUCAUAAAACAAAGUCUGGACAGCCAUGAUAUAUUCAUUCAGAAAUAAUAUCCUUUUUGCAUUGGCCCUCUACUGGUCGGGGUGAAGAUACCCCGAACAAGCCCCUCAGAGGGUUACUUUCCAUAGUAACAAGUGACAGUAAAUUUCAGCACACUAUAUAAAUUUUUCCUUACCAAAUCCCACCUACCAAAGGCGCUUCACUCCCCGGCAACGGUGCCAGAAAAGAGUCUUGAUGACCCACAAGUAUAGGGGAUCUAUCGUAGUAGUUUCGAUAAGUAAGAGUGUCGAACCCAACGAGGAGUAGAAGGAAAUGACAAGCAGUUUUCAGUAAGGUAUUCUCUGCAAGCACUGAAAUUAUCGGUAACAGAUAGUUUUAUGAUAAGGUAAUUUGUAACGAGUAACAAGUAACAAGUGUAAAUAAAGUGCAGCAAGAUGGCCCAAUCCUUUUUGUAGCAAAGGACAAGCCUGUACAAACUCUUAUAUAGAGAAAAGCGCUCCCGAGGACACAUGGGAAUUAUCGUCAAGCUAGUUUUCAUCACGCUCAUAUGAUUCGCGUUCAGUACUUUGAUAAUUUGAUAUGUGGGUGGACCAGUGCUUGAGUGCUGUCCUUACUUGAACAAGCAUCCCACUUAUGAUUAACUCCUAUUGCAAGCAUCCGCAACUACAAAAGAAGUAUUAAGGUAAACCUAACCAUAGCAUGAAACAUAUGGAUCCAAAUCAGUCCCUUACGAAGCAACGCAUAAACUAAGGUUUAAGCUUCUGUCACUCUAGCAACCCAUCAUCUACUUAUUACUUCCCAAUGCCUUCCUCUAGGCCCAAACAAUGGUGAAGUGUCAUGUAGUCGAUGUGCACAUGACACCACUAGAGGAGAGACAACAUACAUCUCAUCAAAAUAUCGAACGAAUACCAAAUUCACAUGACUAUUUAUAGCAAGACUUCUCCCAUGUCCUCAGGAACAAACGUAACUACUCACAAAUCAUAUUCAUGUUCAUAAUCAGAGGGGUAUUAAUAUGCAUAAUGGAUCUAAAAAUAUGAUCUUCCACCAAAUAAACCAACUAGCAUCAACUACAAGGAGUAAUCAACACUACUAGCAACCUACAUGUACCAAUCUGAGGCUUUGGGACAAAGAUUGGAUACAAGAGAUGAACUAGGGUUUGAGAGGAGAUGGUGAUGGUGAAGAUGUUGAUGAAGAUUGACCCCCUCCCGAUGAGAGGAUCGUUGGUGAUGACGAUGGCGAUGAUUUCCCCCUCCCUGAGGGAAGUUUCCCCGGCAGAACAGCUCUGUCGGAGCCCUAGAUUGGUUCCGCCAAGUUUCCGCCUCGUGGCGGCGGAGUUUCUUCCCAAAAUCAAAAUAUCGAACGAAUACCAAAUUCACAUGACUACUUAUAGCAAGACUUCUCCCAUGUCCUCAGGAACAAACGUAACUACUCACAAAUCAUAUUCAUGUUCAUAAUCAGAGGGGUAUUAAUAUGCAUAAUGGAUCUAAAAAUAUGAUCUUCCACCAAAUAAACCAACUAGCAUCAACUACAAGGAGUAAUCAAUACUACUAGCAACCUACAUGUACCAAUCUGAGGCUUUGGGACAAAGAUUGGAUACAAGAGAUGAACUAGGGUUUGAGAGGAGAUGGUGAUGGUGAAGAUGUUGAUGAAGAUUGACCCCCUCCCGAUGAGAGGAUCGUUGGUGAUGAUUUCCCCCUCCCUGAGGGAAGUUUCCCCGGCAGAACAGCUCUGUCGGAGCCCUAGAUUGGUUCCGCCAAGUUUCCGCCUCGUGGCGGCGGAGUUUCUUCCCAAAAGCUUGCGUACACUACACCACGGUCAAGUAUUGGUGACACAUCAAUCUGUCGGCAUAUGGUGUCUUUGCCGACACAUAAUUUGUAGUUAACACAUAUGCUGACAGAAGACUGAACAGUCGGAGGACUUGUUGUGGGGAAAGGCAUUGCCGACAGAAGUUCAUUUGCCGACACAUUUUGAGUCGGCAUACACCCUACCUACGCCAACAGUUUCCUGUGCACAUACACCUACCUACCCCGACACAUGAUUUGUGGGCAUACACCCUAGCUACGGCGACAGACGGGGUGUGAACAUAGACCCCACUUUUGGCAACACAUAAGUUGUCCUGCUAGGUAUAUACCUUUGCCGACACUUGUUCUGUUUGGACAGAUCUAUACCUUUGCUGACACUUAUGUUGUCUAGAUAGGUACAUACCUUGGACGACACAUACCCUGUCUAGCUAGGUACGUACAAAUUGCCUACACUUAUUCUGUCUAGCUAGGUAGUAACCAUGGCUGACAAUUACUCUGCAAGAAUCUGUUUACCAGCAGAUAAAUUGUUGGAAAUGUAGUGUACAACCAAACCAAUGAUUUGAUACAUAUACUAUAUACAAUGUCAAAUGCGAUCAACAAACAACAUCAAGAUGAACACAUAUUGGAAAACAAUGAUGAUAGGUUCACAAACAUACAUAAAUAUAUAUUCACACAGGUUCACAAGCAUAGUUUGACCAUCCAGAACACACAAGUCAAAGGGCCACUAUUUGCUAGUCUGAACUAAUUCAAACAAUGGUCCAGAACACAUAAAUCACAUACAUGAGCACAAAGUUUCUACUCCAAAACACUUGAAGCACCAAAUGGUCCAGAACACACAUAAGAUUCAAGAAAUGAUUGAAGUUGGUUGGUCCAAAAUACUGCAAACAGCCAUAUGUGUUCCAUGACACUACAAGUCCUCCUCACAUCCAAUGCUAGGUGUGGCUAAGUACCUG